UUAUCAGGCUGGGCAGCCCCUUGACCUCUUUCAGCGUAAAUGACUUGGCUCAUUUCAGUGUCAAUGACACAGCCCAUGUCACAUCCCUACUCUUAUGACUCACUAUUUUCCAGUCAAUACAUCCCAACUCUUGUGACUAACAUUUUGAUCCCUGUUUCUCUGAAUAGAACUUUGGAAUUUACUAGUGUUUUUUUCCAAAAAUUUUGCCUACCCAUUUUGAUGGCAAGAAUGUUGACAAUAAUCAUGCAUAUAGAGCUAGGCUGAUAUACUAUCGGUAGUAGGAAGGCCUCCGUGCUACCAAGUUGUUUUCAAUUAUACAGCUUCCAAAUCGACGAUCAGCUCCGUUAGACUUGAUCUACACUAUUAAAAGUAUUUGAAAAAUUAAAUUUCAUAAUUUUUUGACAUCAUUUGGCUAGUUAUAAAAAGGUCUCAAAAUUGACAGUUUUAAUGAUCGAUGUUAUGCAUUUGUGAAUUUAAUGAUGUAAAAUAAUCUAAAUCUGAUGAAAUUUUUAUAGAAAUUUUUUUUCACUAUUUAGAAUAAGAUCAGUACCUCUGAUCUUAAAUUCAAGUCUUUUAUCAUUAUUUUUUAUAAGAUUUUUAUUUUCAGCUGUUCAUUUUUAGACUACUCGUUUGAUAGGUAAAUAUUAUCGAAAAAUUAUGAAAUUUAAUUUUCAAAUAUUUUCAAUAGCAUAAAUCGAGUCUAACAGAGCCGAUCAUCGAUUUGAAAGCUACAUCAUUGAAAAUAAGUUUUGGAAGCUACAUCAUUGAAAAUAAGUUGGUAGCACGGAGGCAUCCGUGCUACCAAUAGUAUACUAGCCUAGCUUCAUUUAUAUAUACACAUCUGAAUUGCACAAAUAACUAAAAUUUUAAAUUGUUUCGGAUUUCGAAUCAUCAGGGUUAGUGACCGACCGUUCAAGUUUCAGGUUGCUCCAAAAUGAAUCAACUAGUACAAGUUUUGAUUGCUGACUUCUUAUUUUGAUCAGAUUCGAAAUGGAUCCUGGGAUAAUUUAGAGCAGGUCACUCUCAAUUCGAACCAUCAAAAUUAGCCCAUCAAAUUUAUCAAAUACCACCUUUUUUUUUUCUCAUUUAAUAAUAAAUUUCUAUACAAAAAUUCCCUUCUAGAAUCAACAUAUAUCAUCACAAUAAUAUAAAGAAUAACAAAGAAACCCAGCAAUUUUUUUUUAUUAAUUAUUUUAUUAAUCUACUUUUUGGCGCUGUGGUCCUAAAGGCCAAAGAUCACCCCCUUGUGCUCCUCGCACUCGCGUCCCCCGAAGUAGGCGUCCCCCAUCCUCCGGUAGACCCGCCACGUCAGCAGGCUAUCCGAACCGGCCUGGUGGCUCUUUCCGACGGGGCGGUCCACGCCGAGCCGGGCGGCGACCCGGUCGAGCCCCCCGUACAGGGCCCCCCCGCAGGCCUGCGCCAUGUGCUUGGCGUCGAAGACCCGGUCCCCGAAGAAAACCCUGAGGAGGUGGGCGAACUCGCCCAUCCCCCGCGGGAGCGCGCGCCCCGUGAGGGCCUUGAGCAGGUACCCGAAGUCGUAGGCGCCGUGGAACGCCACCCACGCCACGGCGGAGCCGUUCAGGACGAGCCCCGAGCCCACCAGGAGCUCGGCGAAGCGCGGCGCCGCGACGCCGCGCGCGCGGUGCGCGGCGAGGUCGACGCCGCUGCGGCGGAGGAGGUCGACCGAGUCGGGCGCGUGGGGGUGGCGCGCGGGGUCGAACUCGCGGAAGUUGAACUCCCAGGUGACGCAGCGGCAGGCGUCGGAGAGGGUGAGGCCGAGCUGGAUGAGGUGGAGGGAGUUGACGUUGCGGCGGAGGAGGGCGUAGCGGUCGAGCGGGGAGAGGAGGGCGUGGGGGCCGCGGGGGAGGUGGACGACGCCCGGGAACUCCGUGUCCAGGGUCGCGUAGGGCAGCCGCUCCACCGCCGACCGGAUCAGCUCGAACUCCGACUCCAGGUUCUCCGCCCACACCGACCGGACCUCCACCUCCACCUGCACCUCGCCGCCCCGCUUCGCCUCCUCCACCCACGCCAUCUUCUAUCUAUUUUGCGAUUUUGAUUCUGAUUUUGGGAUUUUGAUUUUGAUUUUGACUUUGACGAGGAGGAGGAGGAGGAGGAGGCGACGAGAAGAUGAGGGCGCCUAUGUUUCUGUUGAUGUGUUUAUAAAGGGGCGAGAGAGAGAGAGGGGUGGUUCGGGGAAGGGAGGAGGAAGAGCGGGGGCGGAUGCUGCUGCUGCUGCUGCUGCGUGGUGCUUUGAGAUUCGCUCCGACGCUGAGAUCGGAUGGAUCUCGGCCGUUCAUUGCGGAGCCGUCGUAAACGUGGAAAGCGUGUGUGCGCGUUGUGGACAAAUGGGGAGUGACAGGCGUGAGUGGGCUACUUUGUUUAUUUGUAAUAAUUGUAGUUCCUUUUUUUUUUUUAAUCUUUUUUUGUUAUUAUUGAGGGGAAAAAUGCUUACAAAAAAGCCUCUGAACUUUUGCAUUUUUAUAAAAAGGCUUAUAAAUAUUUAACUUUAGCAAUUAAAUUAUCUAAACUUUAUUAUAUAGAAUAAACUUACCAGCUAAUUAAAAAGCAGUUCUCAUUGUAUUGGCACCGCAAAAAUUGCGCCACGUGGCGGACCGGAAUGCAUCGCAGUCAUGAUUUUUGAAGCCAGUAGUAACGAGUAACACAUAGUGCACUAGGAAUAGAGAAAGAGUCGCAGCAAACCGUAAAAUAGUUAAGACUUAUAAGGGCGGUUAAGAUCGGCUAGUAGUGACCCACGAAAUCAGGAGUGUAACCGAUCAUGGGGAUAAUUGAAAAAACAUCGGGCGAGAUUAUAAAUAGAUAAGAGGCCCUUGACAGAGGGUCUUUUUAUCUUGUAAACAAGAAAACCACUUUUCAUAUGCUUCACACUUUAUUAUUUUCUAGGAGUAGUUUACUUGUGUUGAAUCGAAUUCGGUUGAUCCGAUCUCUCAUCAGCGGUCAAAUCGCUGGAUCCAUUAUCGGCGCACACUUCGAAGGUCAUUGUUCGUAGCCAUUUCGCCUCCCCGCGUGCUUCCCGAAGAAAAAUCUUUGAUCGAGUCAACGGUCUGAAAAUUCGGCUCGUAGCAGAUCGCAUAUCAUACAUAUAAUUUUGUAUAAAUGCAAAAUAUAAAAUAUAUUUUUCUCUCUUUUAAGUAUCACGAUGAAAGCAUAUGGAAUGAAUCUAUUAUCUUUUUUUAUUACUUUUUUAUGUGUGGAAAUGGAACAAAUAGAGCUUUUUAACUAAUAAAACUUUACAAGAAGGAAUGCAAUAUAAGUUACUAGGUUGUGUCGUUAGCAAACUUUGAUAAAAUUUAAACGAUAAAAGUUCGGAUGCCUAUUUGCAAAAUGCUGAAGUUCAGGGGCCCUUGUGCAAUUCUUUUUGUCUUAUUAUUAUUAAAUAAAAUAAUUGAGGACUCUAUAAUGGUGGGCGUUACCCCUUUUAUUUAUAUUGGGAAUUAAAUGUGGGCGUGAGGGGGUUCAUUGGAUUUGUCAUAUUUUGUUGUUACAUGCACUCGUGUUGUGGGGGUUGAGGACUUGGUCUUAUUACGGUGCAGUUGCUUAGAUGAAUUAAUUAAUAUGCCUCUCCCCUUUGCAGUAAACAACACUUCACGUAUAGUAUUGUUUCCCACUUUGUUGGUUCCCACCUUACGCUUUUCCUUUCAUAAUUCUCUUUCUCUUUUUAGAUUUUUUGUAAUCAAAUUUAUUAAUAAUUUUAUUAAAUUUAAUGACUUUAAUUAAUUUUUUAGCAAAUAAAAAUUAGAUAAAUUAAAGGCUAGUAACUAAUAGAAUUGUUGAAUUUGAUAAAAUUUUAAAUAAAAAAAAAUAUUAAAAUUUGAGUUGGCGGGGUUGCUGUAGAGUGGGAUAUAGCUGAGGGAUCUCCAUACACUUUAACCAAUUUGCUAAUAACGGAUAAUAUAUAUAUUAAAUUUUGUAAAUUUUUAAAGGGCUAACUUCACUCAGAUUCAAUGAAUUUAAUUUACCGUGUCUUUAAAAAUUGGCUCUGUAAAUAACAUCACUGAAUACUUUCAAAAACCUCCGGUAAAAUCAUCAAGCAUUUAAGAAAGAGAUGGGCGCGCAAUACCAAAGUACAAUUUUACUUGAUUUUGUUGGAUAGCUAUUUGGUACAUUAAUUUUAAUACCGACAAAUAGAUUAAUUGAAUAUAAUCAUUAUUCUCCUCACUAAAUUUAGUGAACAAAUUAAAUAAAAUUAAUUUGUUCCAAUGAAAUAUAAAUCUUUUAAUAUUAUUUUUUAUUUAAAACAAUACUUUUUUAUUUCCUCAUACUAAUAUUAAAAUAGGUCAAGAGGAAGUCGUUUCCACUCACUUAUCCGUUUAGGGUUCCAUAAUUCUUUUAUUUAAAAGUUUACAUGACAGUUUUCUAUUAAUUCUUUUUUGUUACUUAUGAAUUAAAUCAAUUUAAUCAUGAACUGGAGUGAGGCUACUAUACUUCUGGAAGCACGGAGCCUUCCGUGCUUUCAGGUCGUUUUUGAUGUUGCGACUUUCGAAUCGUCGAUCGGCUCCGUUAAAUUUGAUCUAGAAUAUUUGAAGUACUUAGAAAAUAAAUUUUAUGAUUUUUCGAUAUCAUUUGCCUAGUGAUCGAAGGAACUCAAAAUUAAUAAUUUUAAUGGCCGUGGUGAGCCGUUUGCAAGUUUAACGAUAUUAAAAUAUUCAAAUCACGUGAAAUUUUGAUAGAAAAUUUUUUAUACUAUAUAAAACAAGAUCAAUAUCUUUGAUCUAAAAUUUUAAUGUCAUAUUAUCACGUUUUGUAAGAUUUUUAUUUUCAGCCGUUGAUUUUGAGCCCCUUAGUUCACUAGGCAAAUAAUAUCGAAAAAUUGCAAAAUUUAUUUUUUAAAUACUUCAAAUACUCUAGAUCAAGUUUAACAGAGCCGAUCGACAAUUCGAAAGUCGUAACAUCAAAAACGAUCUGAAAGUACGGAAGGCUUCGUGCUUUCAGAAGCAUAGUAGCCUCACUCUCAUGAACUGUAGCAACCACUUAAUUAAAAUUCUCUAAGGUAGCAUACAAGUAAAAUGUUGUAAGAAUUAUAUGUAGUAUAACAUUACUCUUUUUCUUAUGCAACACAGCGCUCCUUUGAUAUUGAAGCCUAUUUAAAAUUAUUAAGUAAACGAGGGUUGUUGCGAAAAUAUGCACGUAUAAACAUAUACGUUGAAACUGUAAACAAAUAUAUCGCAAUCGAUUUAUUAAGAUAAGAGCAAUUUGAUAUUAUGGGCCUGUUUGGCUUAGCUUAUGAAAAAGUGAUUUCUGAAAAAGUGAUUUUGCUUUGAAGAAGUGAUUUUAGUUAAAAGCUGUAGAGCGUUUGGCAGAUUUUAGAUGAAACAGAUUUUUCUGAAAUAAUUUUAAAAAACUGUUUGGCAAAUUUUUUUUGAUUUUUGUAUAAAUUAAUAUUUUUAUUAAAUUUUAUUCUAAAAUAAUUUAAAAUCUAAAUUUAAAUUUGAAUUAAAAUUAAAAUUUUUAAAUUUCAAAAUUGUACAAAAUUUAAAAUUUGAUAUUUUAAUUUAAAUUUUAAAUUUUAAUAUAAUAUUGAAAUUUAAAAUAAAUAUAAAUAUAUUUAAUAUAUAUAUAAUUAUGAUUUUAAAAUAUAAUUUAAUAUAUAAAAAUAUAAAUUUAAUUAAUUUCAAUUUUAAUUUGAUUUAAUUUUAAUUUAAAUCUAAUGCUCUUAAUUGAAAUUUAAAUUUAAUUUAAAAUAACUUGUAACAAUAAAUAUUAAUUAAAAUAUAAAUAUUAGUAUUUAAAAUUAUUUAUUUUAAUUUAAAUUUAAAAUUAAAUUUUAAUUAAAAUAAUGAUGACAUUUAAAUCAAUUUAAAUUUAAAUUUAAUUUAAAUUUAACAUUUAAAUUUGAUUUUAAAAAGUGGAAAUUUCAAUAUUUGUAAGUGUUAAUUUAAUUUAAUUUAAAUAUUUAAUUUAAUAUUGAAAUCUUUAAAUUUUUAAUUUAUUUUAAAAUUUGAUUUAUUAUUGGGAUGAUGUAAUUAAUUGGAAAUCUUGAAAUUUAAAAUUUGAAUUUGAGAAUUGAAAUUUGAAUUUUGAAUUUUAAUUUAUUUGAAUUUAAAUAUAAAAUUUGAUUCUUAAUAUUUUUAAUGAUUAAUUAAAUAAAUAAAAUUGAAGUUACCAUCUCAAGAAUAGAUAGCAAUUUCAUAUAAGCAAGUUUUUUUGUGUUCCAUGAUUCUGAGCGUUAAAAUUAUUUUUGAUUAAACAGAAUCAAUUUUAAAGUUAUUGUGCCAAACGUCUUUAUUGAGCGGAAAUGAUUUUUCAGUUCAUCAGUGCUUUUUAAAGUUAGAUUCCAAACACCUCUAUGUUUAUGAUUGGCGUAAGUUCCCAAAGCGAAAUUAGUUGGACAGAGAAAAUGAGUCUGCGAGUCUUUCAAAGAUUUAAUGUUACAGGGUGUGGUUGUCUGAGUCAAAGCCAGCCGCCACAGGUAUCUUAGGAGCAUGACUGAUGAGAGAGACGAGAGGAGAGGAGAGAGAGAAUGGUGGAAUAAGGUAGUCGAUUGACCUGUCAGGUAGACAAUGUUUAUUCAGGUUUUCUGAAACUUCUACCUCCCGUUACACCUAUUGUUUUCUAGAGGUGCAGAGGGUUAAAGAGCAUUUUGGAGAUCCGAUGUUCUGAAGUAAUUUUCUUUUUUAUUUUAUUUAUUUUGUUUUGUUUUAUCACCGAUUUUGAUUUAGGAGUUUAUAUUUUUUUAAAAUAGUAUGUAAUUAGUAUGUAGUUCACCAAAUUUUGAGUAUAAAAUAAGUAAAUAAAAUAAGUGUGAGUUUACUGGACUUAAGAUAUAAAAAUACAAUUAUGACGAGAACGAAAUGCUGUAUUAGUUUAUUAUAUGUCAAGUUGAUAUUCUUUUUAUACAAUCUUGAUAUUUCAUUUCUGUUUGGGAUGUGAUAUAUACUUUAUGUGACGUUUAGAUGGAUUAUAAAAUUAUUGUUCGUUCGGUGAGUCUGAUGGACGCGUUCGUGAGGACUUCCUCAAUUAUUGGGAAUGGAACGGCGGGAAAGACAUAGUUAGAAUCGAUUGAUGUUCUUUUUUAUUUGGUUUUCUUAGUUUGGAAACUGUUAGUUUUCUUUUUCAUUGGGUUGUGGAGAUAUUUUUUUUUCUUCUUUUUAUUUUAAAUUUUAAUUAAUAUUGAAAUUUAAAAGUAAAUUAAAUAUAUUUAACUUAUAUAUAAUUAUGAUUUUAAAUAUAAUUUAAUAUAUAAAAAUAUAAAUUUAAUUAAUUUCAAUUUUAAUUUGAUUUAAUUUUAAUUUAAAUCUAAUGCUCUUAAUUGAAAUUUAAAUUUAAUUUAAAAUAACUUGUAACAAUAAAUAUUAAUUAAAAUAUAAAUAUUAGUAUUUAAAAUUAUUUAUUUUAAUUUAAAUUUAAAAUUAAAUUUUAAUUAAAAUAAUGAUGACAUUUAAAUCAAUUUAAAUUUAAAUUUAAUUUAAAUUUAACAUUUAAAUUUGAUUUUAAAAAGUGGAAAUUUCAAUAUUUGUAAGUGUUAAUUUAAUUUAAUUUAAAUAUUUAAUUUAAUAUUGAAAUCUUUAAAUUUUUAAUUUAUUUUAAAAUUUGAUUUAUUAUUGGGAUGAUGUAAUUAAUUGGAAAUCUUGAAAUUUAAAAUUUGAAUUUGAGAAUUGAAAUUUGAAUUUUGAAUUUUAAUUUAUUUGAAUUUAAAUAUAAAAUUUGAUUCUUAAUAUUUUUAAUGAUUAAUUAAAUAAAUAAAAUUGAAGUUACCAUCUCAAGAAUAGAUAGCAAUUUCAUAUAAGCAAGUUUUUUUGUGUUCCAUGAUUCUGAGCGUUAAAAUUAUUUUUGAUUAAACAGAAUCAAUUUUAAAGUUAUUGUGCCAAACGUCUUUAUUGAGCGGAAAUGAUUUUUCAGUUCAUCAGUGCUUUUUAAAGUUAGAUUCCAAACACCUCUAUGUUUAUGAUUGGCGUAAGUUCCCAAAGCGAAAUUAGUUGGACAGAGAAAAUGAGUCUGCGAGUCUUUCAAAGAUUUAAUGUUACAGGGUGUGGUUGUCUGAGUCAAAGCCAGCCGCCACAGGUAUCUUAGGAGCAUGACUGAUGAGAGAGACGAGAGGAGAGGAGAGAGAGAAUGGUGGAAUAAGGUAGUCGAUUGACCUGUCAGGUAGACAAUGUUUAUUCAGGUUUUCUGAAACUUCUACCUCCCGUUACACCUAUUGUUUUCUAGAGGUGCAGAGGGUUAAAGAGCAUUUUGGAGAUCCGAUGUUCUGAAGUAAUUUUCUUUUUUAUUUUAUUUAUUUUGUUUUGUUUUAUCACCGAUUUUGAUUUAGGAGUUUAUAUUUUUUUAAAAUAGUAUGUAAUUAGUAUGUAGUUCACCAAAUUUUGAGUAUAAAAUAAGUAAAUAAAAUAAGUGUGAGUUUACUGGACUUAAGAUAUAAAAAUACAAUUAUGACGAGAACGAAAUGCUGUAUUAGUUUAUUAUAUGUCAAGUUGAUAUUCUUUUUAUACAAUCUUGAUAUUUCAUUUCUGUUUGGGAUGUGAUAUAUACUUUAUGUGACGUUUAGAUGGAUUAUAAAAUUAUUGUUCGUUCGGUGAGUCUGAUGGACGCGUUCGUGAGGACUUCCUCAAUUAUUGGGAAUGGAACGGCGGGAAAGACAUAGUUAGAAUCGAUUGAUGUUCUUUUUUAUUUGGUUUUCUUAGUUUGGAAACUGUUAGUUUUCUUUUUCAUUGGGUUGUGGAGAUAUUUUUUUUUUUUUUUUUUUUUUUUUACGAGAAUGUACUUUAUUUGCAAGUUCUCUAUUUUUAUUGAAUUGCCUAUAAACUUAAUUUUCUCAAAAAAAAAACAUGCAUUUUUUUUUUUGUAAAUUUUUAAAAAUGAGACAUAUGAAAAAUAGAACGAAUACCUUGCAUCGACACUACCAUGUAAUUACUACCAUCGCUAGGCUGUUCUAAAAGCCUGCAGGAGCCGAAACAUCACCAACUUGGAAAGCGGAAGCAUUUAGAGAUUUGGUGAGCCGAAGUGUCAUUAGCAGCUCAAGAAUUUGCUAAGAAUAAAAUAUAAGUGGUAGUCAAAGAGUCAUAGGCAAGGGCUGAAGAAUCAUUUUCUCUCAAAAUAAUAUUUCUUAGAGGCCUAUAAAAAACAGAGUCUCAAGCCAAAACACAAAAUAAUAUUAUAAUCUUUUUUCUUUCUUUUUUUUUGAGAAAAAGGUAGCAUGCUACCCGCUUCAUUCAUUGGACUGAUGAAUUAUGCUAUAAUUGUGGGGCAACCAGGCCCCGAAGAAGGAUUAAAAAAAAAAAAAAAAAAAAAAAAAAAAAAAAAAAAAAAAAAAAGCGACGUAAACACCACGGUAAGGAUUGCUUAGUGGCUUGGAAAAAUAUUUGCAAGACCAAAAAGGAAGGCGGUCUAGGAAUCUUGGAUGUCGCAAUCAUGAACCAAGCACUGCUGACUAAAUGGUGGUGGAGAUUCCACACAGCUCCCGAUCUCCAGUGGAAUAAGUUGAUCCGUGAAUUCUACUAUCGUAGAAGAAUACCGUUAAGGGAAGGCAAAUCCUUCAGACCUUUUUCUAAUUGGUGGAAGGGCGUUCUUGGUCUCAAGGACAUCUUCAAUUGGGGAGCAACUUUUACUCUGGGAGAUGGGAGUACCAUCGAUUUCUGGCGGGAUCGAUGGUGUGGGGAAAAGACAUUGAACCUAUGGUGCCCGGAAGCUUAUCUUUUGGCUGGGGGGAAAAACGUUAGAGUUAGUGAAUGCGUUACGGCAGGUAAUUGGAACUGGACCAAGAUCUUCGGGGCCGAUGUCGGACAAGUGCAAGGGCUGCUACCUUGCUGCUUGGAGCUCGUAGAAAGGAUCUCCCUCUUCUCCGUCGAACAUAGACCGGACAUGAUUCAGUGGCGUUGGAGUGCGGACGGACACUUUUCUAUUAAAUCGACCUAUUCGGCUCUGACGGAUGGAGGGACAAGAGACGCACGCGCUUCCUAUAUCUGGAAGCUCAAAAUCCCUUUAAAGGUAAAAGUGUUUAGCUGGUUGGUUCUCAAGAAAAGGAUGCUUACACGUGAUACACUUGUUAAGAGAGGUUGGUUGGACGACUCUAUCUGUGUACUAUGCGGGUCGGGCGAGGAAUCAGUGGAUCAUCUGUUCACCCGGUGCGUAUUCUGCAAGUUUAUCUUAGUAUCAAGGGUGGACGAUAUUCAGGCCAAUGAUCUGGAGAACGACGUGAAUCUCGUAUGGGAUAGGUGGAGGGACAGAAAGGAUCAUCCAAAGAAGCGAACUAGACUUACAGACCUAGUAGGCUGCUGGUGGAUUGUGUGGAAGAUUAGAAACGACACGAUCUUUCAGAAUAUCGCCCCUAACCCUGAGCUAGCGGUUCGCAGAUUCAAGCUUCUAAUGGAGGAGUGGGACCCUCCCCUCGUUUCGUAACUUCUUCUUCUUCUUCUUCUUCUUCCUCUUCUUCUUCUUCUUCUUCUUUUUUUGUUUUUUUUUUUUGUUUUUGUUGUUUUUUUUAUAUUAUAAUCUUUUGUUCUCAAAAAUAUUGUAAUAAUACAAGUACUUUUAAAUUUCCGUAGAGCUCUCUUUCUCUCUUUUGCACUCAGUUGUAAGAUAAGUAUGUUGGGACUAGCAAACAAAAAGGUAUCCUUUUUCAUCUUCUUAAGNACACACAUAAAUACAUAUAAAACAUGUAUUUUUGGAUUUUCUCGAAAUCCGUGCGUCAAACUCAAAAUCCGUCAGCGUCAUUGGUUCCUGAACAGCUGACUCGGUCGAAACGAGCUAUUGGACUGCUAUGAACAGAGUCCGGUACGAGCCAGAAGCCAACUUCUCACCGCGGCUUCUCCGGAAAAUCGAGUUACUAUUCACUUUAAGUGAAACUUGGAAAUCGCGUAGAAUUUCCGUUUUAACUCGUUUUCGCCCGAAACUUGACGAGUGCUUUUGUAAUUAAAUUACACACAAAAAUAUCGUCAACUGAGAGUUUAGCUACACUGCAAAAAUCUCAGUCCUUACAGGUUAGAAGGAAAGCAAAAGUUGUUUUCUAGCGAUUGUUGUUUGGUUUGUAUGAAAAGGAAAAGGAAAUUUGUUUUUCUUUUUGUAUUUUAUUGUUUGGUUGAUAGGAAAAAGUGGGAUAAAAAUACCUCCAAUAUGUUGGAGGUAAGAUUAUCCUGUAUUAAAAAUUAAUAUAUGGGUAAAUAAUAACAAUUGUAAUAUGAGUCAAUUAAUCGUAUCAAAAUAAUUUUACAUACUUAUUGCUUAUAAGAUCUCAACAUUGUCACAACAAUUUAUAUGUUUUUUUUUUUUUUUGAAGUUUAACUGCCCAAAUUGUCUAUAAAGUAUUUAAAAAAGCAUAAAGACAUGCAUAAUAGUGGACAAGAUAUAUGUAAUCUGUUUAAUUCUUAUAUCAAAAAUCAUUUGGAAAGUAUGAAUGUAAAGUAAUGGAAUACAAUAUUACAAAAAAAAAAGAAUAGAAAUUACAAGUUCACAAACAAAAUUAAUUAACAUAUAAUAUAUUAACAAAACAGAGUGAGUCGUUAAUAUAAAACAUCAACUAUUUAACAUCAGAUUUUUAGACAAAUCUAUAGAUAAAUUGAAUCGAGAGUUCUAAUGUGGCCGACGUGGCCGCUUCUCCGCGCUCGCGAGGGAGAGAGGAAGAGAGAAAGGGAGAGAAAGAGAGAGGGGAGGGGGGGCUGCGUGCAGGCGACCCGCGCCCGCAGCACGCGUAAGAAAGGAAGAGAGAGAAGGAGAGAGAGAGAAAGAGAGAGCAGACAGAGAGAGCGGAGAGAGAGAGAGUAGAUAGACAGAGGGGAAGAGAGAGAGAGAGAGAGAAACAGAGACGAGAAGAGAGAGAGAGAGAAGUAGAUAGAGAGUGGCAGGAGUCUCUCUCUCCUGCUCGCGGCUCCCGCAGGGGGUGCGGGCCUCCGCACAUGGCCCCCCGGUUCUCUUCCCCUCUCUCUUCUCUCUCAUCCCCGUCUCCUUCUCUCUCUCUCUUCUCCCCAUCUUUCUCCGCGGCUCUCUCUCUCCCCCUAUCUCUCCCUUCACGGGGCGCGACCGCACCCGGGGUGUGGGCCGCGCUGGGGGGUUCCCGACCGCGCCCCCGCGCACAGGCUUUUCCCCCCCCUCCUCUUCUUUACCUUUCCUCCCCCUACGGCUCUUGUCCUCUCUCCCUCUCCCCCCCUAUCCCCUCCCCUCUCUCCUCUUUUUUCGCCCCCGCUCUUUCUGCUCUCUCUUCCCUCUCCAGCAGGCGGAGCGGCGAGGCGGCCGGUGAGUCGGAGGCGCGAGCGGGCGGCAGUGGGAGGCGGACGCGCGGUGGGCAGUAGCAGUGGCGGUCGGUGCGGGCGCGAGCGCGGCCAGCGGAGCGGACGCGAGGGUAGCACGAAGGGGGGAGAGGGGAGAGGGAGAGAGGGGAAAAGAGAAAGGUGCGGGGGAGAGAGAAUGAGAGAGAGAGAGGGGGGGAGAGAGAAAGAGAGAAAGAGGGAGUCAGGGAGGAAGAGAAAGGGAGAGGGAGAGGGAGAGAGAAUUUUACCAUUUUUAUAUUUAAAUUUUAUACAUAAAUUUUAAAUUUUAAAUUUUAAUUUUAACUUAUAUUAUAUAUAUAAUUUUAUUUAUAAAUAUAUAUUUAUUUAUUAUAUAUAAUUGUAUAUUUAUUUUUUGUAAGUUUAAAAUUUUAAAUUAAAUUUAAAAAUUAAAAAAAUAAAAAACAAAUUGUUUAAAAUAUUUUAAAAAUUGCGUAAAUUUCCCACCGCGGAGCGCGGGCCUUCACUAGUUCUAAUAAAAUCAGAACCCAAAAAGUAAGUAGGUACAAAAAAUAGCAAACUACAUAGUGCUACCAUCUAUAUUAUGUGCCAACUUACAUCCAAAACCAUCAAGUUCCAAAAAAUAAAAUACUGUACUAAUAGUUUUUCAUACUUAGCAACCAGACCAAAAUUACUUUAGAAAUUGGUCUUCAAACUGUGUUAACCAUUCAACUCGCAUUUCUGGUCUACGAACUAAAAAAAGUUUUCCAGCUAUUCAUUUCUCAAGAAAUACUCAUAUGCAGCAAUACCUACGUGCUCGGGGAUAUUACAUGACUUUAUAGAGCUCCAUAUCUCCUUUUCGUGCAUAAUUUUGGCAUCUUUCAUUGAAUCUGCUAAUUCUCUGAUCUUUUUCACUAAUAAUAUAAAUUCUGAAUCUGAAUGUUUUUAUUUCUUGGCUUUUGAGGUUGUACCAAUGCCGGAUUUGGUCACUGGUCGAUUAAGAUUUUGUCGUUUACGUCCUUGAGAAGGGGUUGUUGGUGAAAUGUGCUCGCUCUCUUCUGAAUAUAAAUCUUCCAAGCCAAAGUCAUCACCAUCAUCAUUGUUAUCUUCUUCAUCAAGAUUGAUAUUAUUUGGAUCAUCCGAUGCAAAUUCUCCAAUUGCUUGAUCAUCUCCGCAUAUGAUUGCUAGCUCGUCAUAGUGUUAAAUAGGACAAUUUAAGUAGUAUAUAUCCUUGGGAUGAGCCUACAAGAAUAUAAAACGAAUAACUUCUUAAUAUAAAAUAUAAAUGACAUAUGAAAUUUGAGAUGAAACUGAAAAAAAAGAAAAAAACUUUACUCGAAUAAAGUCUUGGUAAGAUCCUUCGCCCAAACUAAUAGUCUUGCUAACUGGAUCCCAUGAAGCACCACUCAAACUUUUUAAUUGAAUGAUUCUAGACCACUUCGUCUUGAAAGUGCGUAGCCGAUUUUCAACUUUAGUCCAAUUACAAGAAACUUGGAAUUUGGAUGACAUUGCUCUUGCUGCAGCUACAAAGGCUAGCCUUUUGAAUGAUUUGUCCACUUUCAUACCAAUACUAGCUUGAUGCACCAAAAAUUUUACGAGAAAGUCGGACAUCUCAUUUGUCCACUUUGGCUGCGUUUGGUUUGGGUAUAAGUAAUAACUACUUGUUCGAGAGAUAGAUACAAGUCCAGAUAUAAAAAGGAACUAGACCAAUUUUGUGUUUGGAUGAAAAUUGGGUUGUUCCUAAAAAUAAAGUAAAUAUCGUUUGGAUGGUUAAAUUGGAACAAGUGGAAUAAAAUUUAUAAUUUGAAAUUAAAAUUAUAUUAUCUAAUUAAUUAACAUCAAAAUAUUACUUAAAANUUAUAUAUAUAUAAAUAUAUAUAUAUAUAUAUAUAUAUAUAUAUAUAUAUAUUCGAGCUUUUCGAGCCUAAUUCGAACGAGCCGAGUAAUACUCAAGCUCGGCUUGAAAUGAAUUUCGAGCCUUUAAUUUUGUUCAAGCUCGGCUCAUUUAAUUUCGAGUCGAGCUCGAGCGAGCCGAAUAUCGAGCCGAAUACGAGUCGAACGUGAGCCGGCUCGCUCGUUUGCCAGCCCUAGAUGCAAGCGUGCGAAGAGUGCCCUCUAUUGGUUGGACACUCAUAAACUCUUCACGUGCUGUGUUCGGCCGUUUGGGUUUCGACACGUGCGUCUUUCUGUGAAAUAAUAUUUACACAAGUGGCGAAUUUCAUAUAGUUACUGUACACAAAUUUAGCCGAUUUUCAUCAAUCAUGGUAGCUAAAUUUAGUAAGUAUAAUUUAUCAUUAGAAAUAUCAGAACUAUACUGAUCUUCUUUAGCACAAAUGACAAAAGACUUGAUAAUUGAUACCCAAAAUUUUAAUAAAAACUAAAUAAAACGAAUAGCAUGCUACCUUUCUCCCUCUCACAAAAAAAAAUGUAAUAUACAUACUACUAUAAUAUGUUGACAUGAUAAACACCAAGAAUAAUAUUUUAGCUCAUCUAUAUAUAAUUUUGAUUUUCUAUAGACUGUUAAUAUACUGACAAUAUUAAUUAUAUGACGACUUUUUGAACUACGCGUGUAUUAAAAUAAUAAGAACUUGCAAUAUUUCCUGUAUAUUAAUACAUCAAUAAUAAAAACAACCUGGGUAAUCCAUAAAAGUACUGUAUCAUCAUUCUUUAACCCUAGGCAUAGAAAUUAGGAUUGAAAACAUGAAUGCAUAUAUAUACUUUUUGAGAAAUGAUUCGGUACUUUUUAAAAAAAAAAAUAAAAAAGAUCUUAACCAUUGAUUAAUAGAGGGUAAAAAUGUAAUUUUAAUACUUAGCAGGUAAAAGGAUUAUUUUAUUCAAGGUUAGUUUGAUAAUUAAAUAAUAUAACAUUUAAAGAAACUUUUAAUUGAGGUCCUAAAUUUACUAUAGUACACUAGAUUUUAGUGAGAUGCGAAGUUUGAAUGUGAGAAUAGUGUCUGGAACUAUUCUACAACUGAUGAAGGAUUGUUAAGAGAUUUCGGCAAGUGCUAGAGCAAGUGGAUGGCCGGAAGUGGAAAAGUGCAUUACAAAACUGCACUAUUCAAUUGUACUAUUUCGAACUCGACUAAUUAUGAAGUUUGAUGAGUGGGAUUGGUAAUGAAGGUAACCCACAUUUUUUUAAAGAGUUGUAGUGGGGUUCUGGACAAGUUUGAAGGGUGCUCGAACUGACGGAAGCAAGAAAGUGCAUCGCAGAGACACUAUUCAAGUGUAGUAUUCUGAAUUUUGACAAGUGAUGAAAUUUAAGUGUUGGAAUAGCAAUUGGAGCUAUCCUACAACUUUUAGAGAGUGGAAGUAAGGUUUUGGAUGAAUUGAAAAAAUGCUCGAGCCAUCGGAAGGAGGAAAGUGCAUUGUAAAAUGCACAUUCAGCAUUUUGCAUAGUGUACCGGUGUACAAGCAUGAUGUUGUACCGGUACACAGCACAGCAGUAGCUGCGUGGCUAAGGCUAUUUUGGUCUUUUCCCUUUCCAAGGUUGUUCUUAUCAACUCUGGUCGACCCCUGAGCUUAUCCAGAGUCCCCAGGAACUGAGGAGAAGAUAAGGAUUUCCCUCUCUUUCUCUUUCUAAAGUUUUGGGGAUUUUGUAAGUAAAAGUGAAGAUUUAAGCUUGUUUUCCUCUUCUCUCUUGUUUGUUAUCGGUUUGGUGAGUUGGAGCAGCGGUGGAUGAGUAGAACUGAGUUUUGGGGAGAGGAAUUUCGUGACCUAACUCAGUAGGAAGCUGAGUUGGAGCUUUAUGAGGUAAACUACUCAAUCUCUCUCUAGUUUUAAGCUAUACUAGCAAAGCUGAAUUUGAUCUUGGUUUGGUUGUUCCCAGCUGAAUUGGGAAGGUUUAAAGGAGCCAUAGAGAAGUUGGUGUGCUGUGAUUUUACAACCUGGAACCAGGGAUAAUCUGAGAUGAGGUUUGCAAGGUGAUUAACUCGCUAUUUUACCACUCUAAUGCUGAAAUAGUGAUAUUCGUUGUAAGUUAAGGCUGAUUUUGCUUUGAUUCUUCAAGUCGAGGCAAAAGGACAGCUGAACUAAAGCUAUGAGGGAGUAUGCUAUUUAUUAGCUCCUCGAUUAGAUGUAUUAAUUGUAUCUUUAAACACAGUUUUGCGGUGUGAUCACAACUGAUAUGCAGCGGACAUGAUAUUCACUUCGAGCUAAAUUUUGUGAUCAUUGUAAGCUGGAUUUGAAGUGCUUCAACCUACGUGAAGUGAAGGUUUAACUUUGGUUUAAAUCUAAGUAAGAUUUUAGCUUAAAUCAUGUACAUAUCUGAGAAUUACAUAUAUGAGAUUAAAGUGGAACUCAUAGUUGAAUUUGGAUUAUUGUUAGAGUGUUUUGAAGGCUUCUGGUCGCUAUGAACUAAAUGUUAAUGAUUCUUGAAGAUUGAGGAUGAAAAGCUUCAACUUGGUUACAAAAAGGAAGGUCAAGAGCAGAUUCUAAACUAGGUAUAAAUCUACCUAGAUUAGAUGCAUGGAACUGGAAGUUCAAAUUCUAAUUGGAUUAGUAUACUUACUAGGGUAUUUGGAAGCUAAUGAAUAUCUUUGCUUGCAGGAGCAACAAGAGUCGACGGUGAUUAGGUGGGUCGGAUCUUUCCGAAAUGGGUGAAUUCCCUCUAUGUCCCCUUUUACAUUAUGAGUGAAUGUAUUGUAUGUUUAUGUGAACAAGAGUAUACUUGAAAGGAAUUGAGACACGCAUCUAUGUGCAUACCCUAUCAGAUAUGAUAGGAUUUCCAUAUAGUAGAGGAAGAAUUAUGGAAUUGCCUAUUUCCAUAGAUCAUCUAGCUUUAUUGGACGAUAAGGGAACUACGUACUUGGAAAUAAUCACACAAACCUGUGUUCUAAACAUUGUGCUUGAACUCUUAGUUUAUUAUAUAUACUGAAGUUGUUUAUACAUUCAUGUAGAACCAUGCAAGUGUAUAUUGAACAAUACCUCACGUAUUUGCGUUGAUCAAUAGGCUAUUGUUUCAACUAAUAAUACCAACAUGAACUUGGUGUUAUGGAUAUGAUCUUAUUAUGCAAUCCGAACUUGACCUCUUGAAUGUAUACUUGUACAAUCGAACAAUAGUAUUGCAUAUGACUUAUUUACUCCUAGUAGUGGAGGCUUAUGUGGAACUUUAGGAUAGAUAUCAAGAGUCGUAAGGACCCUGAAUGAGUCAUUAAGUAUAACUUUGGUAAACCAUUUUCCUUAUGUAUAAGGAGUAAUAAGAGGACUCUAUGAGAGUAUGUUUGAGUAUAGCCAUUAUGAUACAAGUAUAUACUGAUCUAAAUUGUAAUAACAAUUGGUAGAGUUAUGUCAACAAGUAGUUGAUAGCAGCUUACGAUUGGGUACUACAGUGUCGACCUUGUGUCGAGUUGAGAUUCCAUGUUAGAGACAUGAUGAAAUCGUGAUACUUGUACUAUGGAUUACAGCUUGCAUGCCAUUGUGCUCUUUCGCACAUGCUUGUGGGGGUCGCGCCCCCCAAGCCAGCGCCCCGGAGUGGCUUAGCGACAGAUCGCUCGCUUAUGUAUGAAGUGAGCGCCAAAAUGGAUUGCCGUGGGCAGUGUUAACUUCCACGGGGCCAUUAGGCGCGGCACAUGCCAGACAGCCUUCGAGUGGGUCUUUUACCAGACAGCCUUUGGGUGGGUCUUUAUGCUAGACAGCCUUCGGGUGGGUCUUUAUGCCAGACAGCCUUCGGGUGGGUCUUACAAGAUUUAAACAUCGAGUAGGUAAAUGACAAGUGAACUUAUUGACGAACAAGCUAGACAGUUGACCUCUUGACGUUAGUGACAUGGCGACGGUGUGUUACACUUUUACGGGUGUAGGAAGAUAUCAUCAGUUAUUUCGUGAUGAUGAACAACCUGGCAUAUGAUGAGUCAAAUACCUAAUGACAGCAUGUUUUAUUGUUGCUAAUGUAAACCUGAAUUAUUUCGCAUAUCUUUUGGCAUAUGACUAGUUAAAUUGUUAACUAAUAUGAAUGGUAGAAUCUACCAUGACAAGCUAGUACCUACACCGGCGAUAUGCAUAUAUUUAUUUUUAAGCAAAUAACAUGAUCGGUUUACUUUCAUUCCUGUUGCUUUUAUUUGCUUAUGUACUGCUAUUUACUCAUGCUUGUAAGGACUGAGAUUUUUGACAGUGCAACUAAACUUUCUGUUGAUGAUGUUUAUGUGUGUAAUUUAAUUACAUAAGCACUCGUCAAGUUUCGGGCGAAAAUGAGCUAAAAUGGAGAAGAUACGCGAUUUUUAGUUUUCACUUAAGUGAAUAGUAACUCCGGUUUUCCGGAGAAGCCACGGAGUAGAGUUGGCUUCUGGUGCGUAUCGGACUCCGUUCAUAUCAGUCCAAUAGCUCGUUUCGACCGGUUCAGCUGUUCUGGAACUAAUGGCGCUGAUGGAUUUUGAGUUUGACGCACGGAUUUCGAUAAAAUCCAAAAAUACAUGUUUUAUAUGUAUUUGUGUGUAUGUUUCCUUCUAUUGGAAGAAGGUUGGAUUUUGUUGUGAAUCCGUGGUCGAUCGAGAUGAAUCGAAAGUGUAGCUUUGUUGUCUCCGAGGUGCUGAUCGCACUGGUGCAAUCCGUUCGCAAAUCUGACGGACGGAUCUGCGGAGAUCGCGCGUUGAUCGAGGAGAGGUCGGUGAUGGCAAAACGGUAAUUUCGCAAAAGUCGCGACAUUUUAUGUACCGUUUCUCGUGAGAUCGCACGUGGAGGGGCGUUCUUGCGUUUUAGUCGUACCGUGAGGGACUCGGAUUCAAUUUCAGAUGUUUGAGGGGUUUUCUUGCAAGUUGCACCUAGUAUAUAGUUAUUCUCUAGGGUUUGGAGUCACCUAACCUAACCCUAGCUUUGCCCUAGCCCCCUAGCCGCCCCCCCCACGUUCCCCUGCUCUCCCCGCGCGCGCCCCGUCCACCUGAGCACGCCGCCGGCCGCCGGAGCUGGCUGCUCCAUCCUUCCUCUCUAUCUCCUCCCUCUCUUCCUCUCUCCCUCUCUCCUCUUGGGUUGGGAGGAGGCCUGAGACUACCGCUACCUUUGGACCCUCCCUCGGUGUCGCCCCGUGCUCCGGCGAUCAUCUCCGCCGACCGCCGCCGUUGCCUGCACCGCCGCUGCCGCCCCGGGCCACAUCUGCCAGCCCAGGCCGAGCCCUGGCCGAGCCGGGUUGCCACUGCCGCCAGCGCGCCGCCACCACCUGGAAUCCCUCCCGCCGACCUCCUCCGUGCCCGGGCACCCCUUCCCGCCGGUCGCCGCCGCCCCGGUGCGCCGCCGUCGCCGCCUCGGCCAGCCGCGGCCGCCUAGCCCGAGCCCAGGCCGAGGCUUUGUUGCGGUCUUUUCCCGCGCCGCCGCCACUCGAGGCCGCCUCCUUCCUCCUCCUCUGGCCUCUGGGGACCUGCCGUCGUCAUCCCCGACCUACCCCGGCCGCCGUCGUGGCCGCAGCUCCCUUGGAAUCCGUGUCCUAGCUCGUGCGGGCCGAGCUUGCUCCGCCGACGCCGCCGCCGCUUCUUGUCGCCAACCGAGGUGAGCACGGAGUUCCUCACCUCUCCCGCACCCGACUCAGGGACCCGCGCGCGCCGCCGUACCGCCGGAGGCCGGCCGGAGCAAGGUUGCUCUGGCCAAGCCCGAAAUAAGGCUUAUUUGAGUGGGUUUCUUGUUCUAGGCUUCCCGAGCUUCCCCGAUCUCUAUGGAAGGGAGCACGAUGAUCCUGGCAAGUUUCUGAUCAUCGUGCUCACCUUGGCUUCUGUCGGGAAGGUCCCGUUCCGCUGUUUUGACGACGUCGCUCCGUUUCAGCCUUUUUGGCUGCUGUUUCGGGUUUGUGCUUGUUUUUCCGGCGAUCCGAGGGCUUUUAGAAGCCUCCGGAAGGUGAGCAUGGUGACCGCUGGUCAGUGCUGAUCACAAUUCUCACCUUCCCUUGGAUCAGAAGUGUCCGGUUAGUCCUGUUCAGCGCGAUCUUCCUUGACGCUGCGCUGUUCGCUGAACCUUCGGGUUGCUCCCGCGCUUCCCACAGCGAGCCGCUGUGCUCCGGAUCGUGAGCACGGACUCCGUACGUCCGGGACCUAUCAGUACGUGUCUCUGCGGACUUUGGAAGUCCUGGUUUGCGUGAGUGAGUUUCUUGAUCGCUCAAAUUACAUAAAAUGAUAGAAUUUUAUGUAAAUUGAGGGGCUUUUUAUGCAAUUGUGCAUCGUGUGGCUACUGUGGGCAGUGCCCGUGAGUGUUUUGACCUCUGGACUGAUUGUCCAUGAUCCGUUAGCUCCGCGGAAAUCGAAAGGUUGAUUUCGGUGCGUUUUUCGGCGAAAUUCGCCGAAAGAACGCGAUUUCGGUUCGGAUUCUUUUCCGACGGUGUUUGGUUGCUCCGUGUUUUGUCGCUGAGCUCUUGUUGGCUGGUCACCGCAAUCAUUUGAGGGUUCGAAAAUGGCGGGUGAGCGACGGUAGGUUCCGGUGUCGAAUUAGACACUUCGGGAACCCGAAUCGAAACGAUUAUCCGACAUAAUUGUUCGACACGAGGAGUUGUGUUUGCUGAUCAAUGAAUGCAACGAUUAUUUUAUGUUUAGUGGCAGCAAGGUGACUCGUAGCUCGAGUCGGUAUGUUCCGGGACAGUUCGUGGGUCCGCGGCGGAGUCCCCCGGUGCGAUUACGGGACUGUCCGGCGUAUUACGGCGAUCGGUUGGGAAACCGGUCCCCAUGGGUUUGCUUGUAGGUUGUGGAUUUAGUGGUUAUUAGCUGUGAGUUAGACAUAACCCGGUGGACCUUCCUUAGGUCGCGGUUGACGUUCUUUGCAGUCAGGAGACAGGCGCAGCAUUUGUACAGGUGGGUAACUUCGAUCCGAAGUGGUACAGGUGGUGCACGCUCGGUGAUAUGUCUUCUAUCCCUGUACUCUGGUUGCUACUAACGUAUUGUCUUUGAGCUUGCAUCCAGUUGAUUUUAUUACACUCUACUUGAAUUGUGUUUCCAUGGCUUAUAUUAAUGUGUAGGGAGUAGAGUAGUUUAUCCAUAUGUGAUUCCAGUGACCUGAGUGGUCGGUCUGUACUUCGUUUCGGUGACCUGAUUGGUCAGUUUCUCGCUUUCCGUUCAGAUGACCCUUGAGGUCGAUAUACCCUAAAGGGUGGGAUUGUCGGCAACGUCCGACGAUUGAUUAUAGUCUACUCAUUCCAGCUGUUUGUAUGUUUGUGACUGUCUGCCACAGCCACGAAUGACGCAGCCUCGCACGGUUGAAUUGAUUUGAUUUUACCGGGGGUAGUAUUCAUGAUGUAGAUUAAAGUAUGUGUAUAUAUGGUUUAUCAGGUAAUUGUGGAUUCAUGGCUUCCAAUAAACGCAAGCGUCUAUUGUUAAUUACCCCUAUAAAGUGUUAGGGCACCUUCGAUUAAGAGACUCUGAAAGUGCUGAAGAUAAACUAAAAAUUGGACAAAAAGGAAUUAUUUACAAUUUAUUGCUCAAUACAUGGCUUUAACCAAGGGCAUACCCUCAGUGUAUUGAAUAGAGCGUAAAGAAAAUGUAUUUUUCAAUUGUAUCGUUAGUAUAUAUUCUAAGAUACCCAAUAUAUGGUAAAAUUAAUUUGUUAGACUCUAUAUGUUGUGGACUCAACACUAUUCACCCUAAUAUGCAAAGAUUGAUUAAAUUCCAUAUAUAUAUGUAUUGGAUAUUUAAUCAGAUUUAAUUCAGAUUAACUCUAAUUAUAUGUAUUAGAGUUUGAUUUGGUUAAUUGAACUCUUAAAUGUAUGUGAAAAGUCAAUAGAUGAUCAGAUUUUGGUUGAGCUCUAUAUAUUUUGGAGCUCAACUUUGUUUAUCAUGAGAUGAAAGAUGUGAUUAAAUCCGCAUAUAUAUACAUUGGAAUUAAUCAAACUUGAAUUAAAGCUCUGAACUUUAAAUAUAUUAAUAAAGUCCAAUAGAGUUUGAUUUGAGCUUUCAUCCUAAAUAUAUGUGUUAGGAUUAGCCCCAAAUAUCUUAAAUUAGACUCUAAUUUUAUAUUUUAGAGUCUGAUACAAUUAGGCUCUAAGUUUAUGUAUUAGAGCUUAGUCACAUUUGAUUUUGGUUCAUCUCAAGGUGAAAUAUUAACUAAAUCCUAAUUAUAUGUAUUAGGAUUAGUCAGAUUUGAUUUAAAUUAAACUCCAAGUGUAUGUAUUGGAAUCCAACAAAUUAAUUUGAUCAGAUGGUUUGAUCAAUUCUAAAUAUAGGUUUAGAAUUUGAUCAAGUUUGAACAUGAUUGUGAUUUGACUCUAGUUUUAUAUGCUAGAGAAUCGAAUAUUUUGGGAAUUGGGAUGUUCGUGAAAAUUGAACUUGAGUUUAGUUUAACGACAUUUCGGUCGAUUGAUUUAGGUUUAGUUUAACGACGUUUCGAUCGGUUGAUUUGGUGGAGUAGUUUAACGACGUUUCGGUCAAAGGUUUGGGUUUGGUUCACAAGGUUUAUGGUAUUGGGUAUAUGGGAUUAUGGUUCAUGAACUUAGAUAUGGGUUUAUGGUUCAUGAACUUAUGGUUUAUGGGUUUAUGGUUCAUGGGUUUAUGGUUCAUGGACUUAUGGUUCAUGGACUUAUGGUUCAUGGGUUUGGUUCAUGGACUUAUAGUUCAUGGACUUAUGGUUCAUGGACUUAUGGUUCAUGGGUUUGGUGUAUGGUUUGUGGUUUAUGAUCCCUGGCUCAUGAACUUGAUUUGAUUCAUGAACUUGAUUCAUAGUUCGUGAAUUUGGUGUAUGGUAUGGUCCACAGGAUUUGGUGUAUGGUUUGGUCCAUGGUUUUGGUUUAAAGUUCAUGGACUUGGUUAAGGUUAUGGUCUUGGAAAUGGAUUAAAUGUGUAUGGGUUCAUGGGUAAAUGUAUAUAGGUUUAUGUAUAUGGGUUUAUGGGUUUUGGAUAAUGGGCUUAGAUAGUGGGCCCAAAUGGGUUUUGGACUGGGGCCAUUUGUAAAUGGGCUCUGGGCUUUGGACUAGGCCUAGAUUUAAUUGGAUUGGGUUAUAGGUUAUGGGUUUAGAAUUGGGCUAAGGUUUAAUUGGAUUAGGUUAUAGGAUUGGGUUAUAGGUAACGGUUAAUGGAUUUUGAGUGAGGUUAAGGUUAAUGGGUUUAGAUUAGAUUGGGUUAAAUGGGUUUAGAGUCAAAGUGUUGAUUUAAUACGGAUGGGUUGAGGUUCAAUGACUUAGGUCCAUAUGAUCGGGCCUAGAUUCAUGUCUCGAGGUUUUAUUAAAAAAAAAUGUUUUGAUCAAUUAAGAUUUUCAUAUACAUUUUCUUCAAAUUCUGGAUUUGAAUAACAAAUUAAAUUUCAAUUUAAUUUGAAGUGUCUAAUGUGAUUUUGUCAAAGCUCUCUCUCUCUUUUAGAGUGAUCUCUCUUUUUGGUGAUAUUUUGCAAAGAGCACCAUCGAUGUUCAUCUCGGCAUUCCAUCGAGCGGUUUGAUUAGCACGUCGACGACGAAGUAUUUCGUCGAAUGAUUGGUCGGUAAAUGAGAGCAUCGCUCUCUUUAUGAUUCGCCACCGAGCAAUUAGCGGGCGAACUUUGUUUGAAAGGAGAGCACCGCUCUCUCUCUCGGAUUCGUCGUCGGAGCGGUUGGCGGACUUGACUUCAUUUAAGAGGAGAGCACCGCUCUCUCUCUAAGGUUCGCCGUCGAGCGGUUGGUGGGCGGACUCCGGGCACAUCAAGCACUUGGCAGGCGGAAUCCGUUUGAGAGGAGAGCACCGCUCUCUCUCUCAGGUUCGCCGUCGAGCGGUUGGUGGGCGGACUUCGUUUGAGAGGAGAGCACCGCUCUCUCUCUCAGGAUCGCCGUCGAGAGAUGUGUCUUGGGCAUUUCGUCAAACAAUUGGUAGGCACCAAUCGUCGGCGCAUUCUGCAGCGCGUCCGCUGCCGAUCCAUAGCUGUCGCGGCACGACUGCAGGCCGUUCUGCAGCACCUUCUUGACGGCUGGGGCCGCCACCGCCUGCACGUGCUCCGCCUUGAGCGCCGCAGCCUGGACCGACGCCGCGGCUCGCACAGUGUAGCCGCCGCACCUCGCCCGCAGCUUGCAGCUGCAACAUACUAUCGUCUUCGUCGUGGGGGAUCAAGGGUCCGCUGGUGGCGAGCGAGAUACAACGGUUGCUGCCGGAGGGGGAGUAGACUAAUAUAAACCUUUUUUUAAAGAAUCGAUGUUCGUUGUGGACACAGAGCGAACACCUGGUGAGCGGUAACAAGUCCGGCCAUGUCGGAGAAGAUGCCGGUGUCGAGGGCGUCCCGUAGAAGGCCGGUAGCAACGACGCGAAGGGCCUGGCGGACACCGUGAACAGCGGCAUGUGCUGGACAUCUGAGUCGAGGAAGCCGAACUGCGUCCAAAGAGCGCCCAUGAGGGCCGCCGAGAGCAGGUCGACGGCGGGGCUGGAGGAAGCGACGACGCCGUAGACGGCGUCGGCGAGCAUAAGGAGCGUGGCGGCCAGCUCGAGGAGCGCGCCGUGGCCCUUCUUCUCGAAGAGGCCGGCCCGUACGAACUCGGCGACGAGGCGGCGGUAGUCGGGGGAGGCGUCGUAGACGACGUAGUCGGCGAGGCGGGCGACGCAGAGGGGGUCGAGCAGCCCCCAGGCGGACGGCGGGUGAUGGAACGGCCUCGUCGGCCACCUCCUCGACGUCGCGGCAGUGGCUGCGCGCCGGGUUGACGAUCUGGACGAGCACGGCGCGGCCACGGAGCUCAGGGCGCUUCUCGAGGAGCCGCUCCGUGGCGAGGAACUUGAGGCUGACGCCCUUGAAGAGGUCGACGUCGUCGACCCUGAGGAGGACGACGCGGUCCUUGAAGGCAAGGGAGAGGUCGCGGAGCGUGGCGAGGGCCUCGGGCGCGACGACCACGGAGCGGAGCUGGGCCAUGUCGACGCCGACGGGGAGGAUCUUUACGGUGACGGUGCGGCCGCAGUGGGUGUUGCGCCUGUGCGCGGCGGUACUGCCAACGCGGCGCACGAAGACGAGGUGUGCGUCGGAGGCGAUCUGAACUCGCGACUGCGACGAUGGCGGUGUCGGGGGAAGACGAGGCCGCGGUGGGCGUUGCGCCCGCACGCGGCGGUGCUGCCGACGCGGCGCGCGAAGACGGGGUGCACGUCGAGGAGGCGGAGGCCGAACUCGCGGCUGCCGACGGCGGCGGUGUCGAGGGAAGACGAGGCCGCGGUGGGCGUUGCGCCCGCACGCGGCGGUGCUGCCGAAGCGGCGUGCGAAGACGAGGUGCGCGUCGAGGAGGCGGAGGCCGAACUCGCGGCUGCCGACGACGGCGGUGUCGAGGGGAGGACGCCGCGGGCGAGGAGUCGUGCGGCCGGCCUCGGCGGCACAGGGGACCUCCCAAUGCUUGCGGGUGGCUGAUCAUGCGGCGGAGGGCGGCGCCGUUGAGGAUGAUCUGGUGCACGGCGGGGGCGAUCUCGCGAGAGACGCGGCGGAGGUCAGCGGCCGCGAUGGGCGAGCGGUGGUCGCCAUGAUUGAUGAGGGUGAAGAUACAGAGGUUUUUUUUCUUUUUUUUUUUUUUAGGAGAGAGAGAGCUUUGUCAUUGAUGCUGCAUCAAUGGAAAAAAAGUUAUUAUUACUACCUUUUUCUUUUCUUUCGUAGAUAGGAAUAGUGAAAUUUUUUUUUUUGGGUCCGAAACUCUGUGUCCCAGUUGGGUUCAAAUAUACUUAGGUUAUAACGGCUUAGAACGUGCAAAUAAUGGAGGUAGUGGGAUGUGGGUAGGAGAGGUGGGAAGUUACGAUGGGAUCAUGGGAUCGUGGGUAGGAGAGGUGGGAAGUUACGAUGGAAUCAUGGGAUCGUGGGUAUAAUAUUACAAAUUAAUCCUUUCAUUUUGCUUAUAUUAUACUUUAGUUAAAAUAACAAAAUAUUAUAUGUUUGAAGUGGAGCAUCCUGCAAAUAUAUGAAAGGGAAAGGACUAAUCUGCUAUUUUUGUACCCGUUCGCACCUACGGGAACAUCCCACUUUCCGCGUUCAAAAUUUGAAUCCCACUUUCCGCGUUCAAAAUUUGAACUUAAAUUUUUAUCCAUGCACCUAGUGCAUGGAUCAUCUCAUAAACCAUCUCUUCUUUUUUUUUUUAUUUCUUUCUCCCCCCCCUUUUUUUUUUCUUUUUCCUCUUUUAUUCCUCUCUCUUUUUUUAUGCUUCAACAGUGACCUAGUCGGUUAGCUUCGUGAGUUCCGUCGUUGAUGACCUUUGAGGUCGGUGUACCCUGAGGGGUAGGAUUGUCAGCUGGUGCUGACGGUAGUUCUGGACUAUAUCGAUACACUUUUGUGACCUAUCGGUCGGUUCUUGCGUUCGUACAUUUAGUUGACAUCGAGUAGUAUUUACAUAUUAUCUUUAUUUACUCUGCCUGGUUGUUCCAUGUGUAGUAUCCUGUGUAGGGGUAGAGUAGGUGACAUUCGUAUAUACUAUACUAGUGACCUGGUUGGUCGGUUCUCCUAUUUGCAUCUGUGACCUGUUUGGUCGUUCGUUACUUCCCGUACUUUGACCUAUCUCGAUCGGUUCACGUUAUUACUUGAUGACCUAUCUGGUCGGUAUGCCCAGAGGGGCAGUGAUUGUCGGCUGGUCGCCGACGGUUGGCUAUUGAGCAUAUCAGCAUCAAUCGCCACCACUCGUUAGCAUUUCAUGAACACUGGCGGUCUGAUCCACCGCAGCGAGUGUUCUUUUCCGGAAAAGUGGUCGUAUGUCUGACCCGUGAGCCCAAAGGCUAGAUUGGGUUAUAUGCAGGUUGAGUGGAUAUGGCACGAGCCUGAGGUUCCCGGACCAACAUGGCAGGGUUAGUGUAAGGACUGAGAUUUUUGCAGUAUACCUAAACUCUCAGUUGACGAUGUUUUUGUGUGUAAUUUAAUUACAAAAGCACUCGUCAAGUUUCGGGCGAAAACGAGUUAAAACGGAAAUUCUACGCGAUUUCCAAGUUUCACUUAAAGUGAAUAGUAACUCGAUUUUCCGGAGAAGCCGCGGUGAGAAGUUGGCUUCUGGCUCGUACCGGACUCUGUUCAUAGCAGUCCAAUAGCUCGUUUCGACCGGGUCAGCUGUUCUGGAACUAAUGGCGCUGACGGAUUUUGAGUUUGACGCACGGAUUUCGAGAAAAUCCAAAAAUACAUAUUUUAUAUGUAUUUAUGUGUGUGUUUCCUUCUAUUCGAAGAAGGUUGGAUUUUGUCGUGAAUCUGUGGUCGAUCAAGAUGAAACGAAAUCGCAGCUUUGUUGUCUCCGUCGUGCUGAUCGCACUGGUGCAAUCCGUUCGCAAAUCUGACGGACGGAUCUGCGGAGAUCGCGCGUUGAUCGAGGAGAGGUCGGUAGUGGCAAAACGGUAUUUUCGCGAAAGUCGCGACAUUUUAUGUAUCGUUUCGCGAGAGAUCUCACGUGGAGGGCUAUUCGUGUGUUUUACACGCACUGUGGAUGACUUAGUUUAAAAUAUUGAGUUUUCGUGGGUCCUUUCGUAAUUUGAGUUUUAUAUAUAUAGUUGUCUCUUUAUUCCGGGUCCGGAUUUUUGUUUAUCUCUCUCGUCUCUCUUCUCUCUUCUCUCUCUCUCUAUAUAUAUAUAAUAUAUUAUAUAUAUAUAUAUAUAUAUAUAAAUUUCGAGGGGGUUUAAGUACAUGCAAAAAUUGGAUUUACUAACUAUCCCUCGCUCCUGGCGGAGUAUCCAGACAACAACAUAUUAUUAUAAAAAACCUCAAAACUACUUGUGAGGUAUGCUCGAGCACUACAACUCUUCUGGAAGAGAUCUAGUCGCGCAACUCCCUUUCCAGAGAUGAUUAGUUAUCAGGACGACAGUGUCUAAUGCAGUUCAACCGCCAGAAGAAUGACUACCAUGCACACAACACAGAGAGACCUCCGCUCGCCACCGUAUCAUCAACUUAUGAACCUCGCCAUAGCAUUAGAAGAUGUAACAUACUUGGCACCUAAAAAGAAGUAGCUGGUACUCAGUAGCAACAAGGGAUACGCUUACCGACCUAACGGUCCUCAGCGAACCCACAUAAACAGAGAUCUACAGAAAGAACAUAUCAACAGAAAAAAUAACGCUAACAGCGAUACGUGAUAAUAAACCAUGCAUCCGAACCAUACAGCUUAUAAUGCAACACGUGAUUAUCUAUUUCGCUCGACGACAGAUAAAUCUUCGGCUUCUGAAAAAACGCACGAAUGGCGACUCACCGUAUCUCUUUAUCCUGACAGCGUUACACGGCACCUAUGGACAAUCCAGCCCCUUCUCCAAAGGCGGCUUCUACUCUUCAUUACAAUCCACUCCCCACACACUGGCGCCACGUAGCCUAGUCUCGCCAAAAAGCGACAUAAUUGAUAUUAAAGAACCCCCUACUAGAUUUAAUAAAUAUCUAUCAACUUUUCAAUGUAGCAUCGUUGAACAUAUGCGAACCUUUUUCAAGUGCAGCGUCUGUUCACGCGCAGAAAAAGCCGCGCAGAGCGACUUUCAAGUCGUGUCUUCGCGAGGACGUCCACUGACAGGUUACUCCGACCGCCUCUACCGCUGUUAGUCCCGUGCUCAUGACUCCGCUUCAGUCCUAGCGGCUCGCUGCGCUGGGAGCCCUACAGCGGCUCCUCUCGCAUCUGGUGGCCAGGCGUACCCCCGAUAGGGGAGCGCACGGAGCAACCGAGGUCAGCGUCGCGCAGUCAGGAGAUCGCGACCGAACAGAAAACUAACGGACACUUCUGAUCCAAGUGACGGUGCCAACAUGUGAUCAGCACUGGACCAUACCGAUCACCGUGCUCCUCCGGAGCGAUCAGAACAGCUCGGCAUCCCCGGAUAAAGCGUGCGCUAAGCCCACAACAGCAGCCAAAAAGCUGAACACGGCAGCGACAUCGCACAAAAGCGGAACGGCGGUGGCCUUCCGACAGAAAAUAAGAGUGAGCACCGAUGUAUCGCACUCGCCAGGAAUCAUCGUGCUCCUUCCGUACAGAUUCGGGGAGGCUCAGGAAACUCAGAAACAAGAAACCACUUCAAUUAAGCCUAUUUCGGGCUUGGCCCGGAGCAACCUUGCUCGGCCGGCUCCGGCGGCGCUGGUCGAGGGCCCUGAGGGUCGGUGAUGAGGGAGGGGAGGAACACGAUGUCACCUCAGUUAUGCGGCGAGAAGCGGCGGCGGUGACCAUCGGCGAGCAACUGAUGCCCGCCAAAAAAAUAGAGAAGUCUGGGCUCGGCGGGUUUCUCCGGCCACGCGAGCGCCGGGAAGGUCGGGGGACGGCGGAAGAGGGUUGCAGGAGAUCGGGGGAGGGUGGCACAGUGGCUCAGGCCCGGCGCGGCGCUAGCGAAGGGGCCGCCACACAGCUUCAGCUCGGGCUCGGGUUGGGCUCGCUUGCAGCGGCCUCGAAGGCCUGCGGCGGCGGCGCGCCUGCCGGGCGGCGUCACCGGCGGGAAGGGUGCCGGCUCCGUGUGACGCGGGUGAGAGUUUUCCAGGCCCCGGCGGCGGCGCGCUGGUGGCUGCGGGCAACCCGGCUCGGCCAGGCUCGGCCUGGGCUGCCGCAGGCAGGCUUGGAGCGGCUGCAGCGGCGCAGGCGACGCUGCGGGUCGCGCGGGAUGACGCCGAGAGCACGGGGCCGAUCACAGAGGGAGGUCGAAUUGUGGCGGCACGUCCCCGGGAUUCCUCAAACCCGAGGGGACGCAGACGGGAGAGAGAAAGAUGAGGGGAGAGAGAAGAAGUGUCCUAUGGCAUGCUGCGGGCGUGGUGGUGUCAGUCUGGCGAGGGCCGGGGUGGUGCAUCAAGGGCUAGGGGGAGGAGAGGGAGCUGUCCUGGGGGCUAGUUGCAAGGCUAGGGAUAGAGUUCUAGUACAAAAAACCUAAGCAGANNNNNNNNNNNNNNNNNNNNNNNNNNNNNNNNNNNNNNNNNNNNNNNNNNNNNNNNNNNNNNNNNNNNNNNNNNNNNNNNNNNNNNNNNNNNNNNNNNNNAAGAGAGAUGGUGAGUGGAACGUAAACCUAUACGGUGGCGGAAGUUGAAUCGAUUGGGUCGAGUUAGUAACCCUCUAAGACGGAUGUUAGAGGUGGAUUCAAGGUUCUGUUUAUUCUCACACGAGAGUGUUCAUGUUGGACAUACAACAUGAAACUAAGUGUGAGAACAAGCACCCUUGUGUUGACUUUCGCCUGAUUGAGUCAGUUGUUUUUGCUUUGCGGCGAAGCUAUACAGGUUAAGGUGAUUAACCCAAGUUCUUGUGUUUCAGGAGCUAAUGGCACCAAUGAGACACUACGUGCGUAGAUCCGUUCCGGCACAGCCUGCCGAGGUGCCAGAGCAAGCUGGAUCAAGUGAGGUGCAAGAACUGCGGGCGCAGAUGACUGCACUAGUUGGCGUGGUUCAGCACCAAGGGAGGUUGAUCGAGCAGCUCCAGGAGUGUUUGGAGCAGCUGGUAGCGGCGGCGGCCGCGACAGAGACUGAAGGUCGUGGUCUGCCCGCGCCCUCGAUUUGCGCGCUUGAUGCGGCUGAGGGUGAGGGCCUGGCAGUGGUUCCGAUGGCGGUACAUUCCCCGUCGGUUAGUGUUCCUCUGGCGGCUUCGGGUCCUACGAUACUUGAUGUGACAGCUGGGGAAGUGAGACAGGAACGCGAGGCGUUCAAGGAGAGUGGAGUAAAGAAGCGACCUGGCGGUAGUUCGGGGGGACAGUUUAGUUCCCAGAAGCCCCCGAAGUAUCGGGUGAGGUGGUCUGAUGGCUAUGGGCCUAAGCGAUGUGUGAUCUGCGGUGGAGAGCAUCGCGCGGGAAAUUGUGAGCAUAAGGCGGGACGGUGCUUCAGGUGUGGUCGGGCGGGGCAUAUAAGCCGUUACUGCCCAGAGGGAGCGUCACCUGCACCGUUUGUUACAUUCGCCCCAGUGCCUUCGAGGCAGUUGGCUGGAGUUCCGCCGGCUACCGUAUCGGUGGGACGUACGAUGGCGCCGCGUCAGCUCGAGGUGACCCGGUCGGCUCCAAGCGGUCGGGUGGUUGCCGCUCAAAAGGAGGGACUUGCUGGGGCCGAGGAGCGUGAUAUCGUGGCAGGUAUGAUUUAAUUAAAGCAAUCAUACGCUUCUGCGUGAUGUAGACUUGGAAAAUUGCAUGCAUCUUCUCGUGGUCAUUGGCUACUAAUUUUGUAUAGUAUAGUAAGGACCAAGUGGACGGAUUGGCGUAGAUACCCGGGCAUGCUUAUGUGGUAGUAGUGUAGCGCCUGCUGGAGCAGGUAGAGAGUUAGAUGGCACUAGCAAUUUGCUGGUGAUGGUUGUUGGGCGAGAAGUGAGACUCGUGGUAGACACGAAGUGGUAAAGCGACUCUCAAGGUAGUGAUUAUCGAAUUGCGAGAGUUGCGCAGUGGAAUUGCGAAUACCGAGUGGCUUGAGCAUCUCGGAUAUUAUUUCGGUAGAUCGAACAGUGAGAGUAGAAUCACUGUUGAGAGAGUAGCUCAGUAGUUGCCGAGUGCGGGCACGUAGGCCUAGUAGUACCUCGAGUUGAGGUGGGCGAGUCGUGCUCGUGUAGCCGAUGUGCAUAGGCAAGUUGCCUAAUGCUGGACUUCGUGUGAGACGCUGUAGAGGCUUAGGGCGCUCGAGUAUAGAUACUCGUAGAGUACGGUUUCGAUUCAGCCGGGUGAGUGAGCUAGCAGUAGCACUUUAGCUUUGCUAAGUGUGAAGCGGGCCUUGGAUCACUUGUAGGGCUGGUGGCUCGCACUAAGUGCCUAGGAGCCGAUAGAGUUUGUAGCUCUGUAGAGUAUGUCGUGUAGGACGACGACGGCGCGGGUAGUGCUUGGGGACGACUCGUGCCUAGACCAUUUGUGGACUGUGGAGCCUGGGCCCUUUGGGCAGGCGUAGUCAGCUGCGAGAGGCAGCGGCCCGGUACCUACGGGUAGGGCAAAGAUAUGGUCAGGAUGGUAGUCCGAGCUUAGACCCGAGAAUGUGUAAUUCCACGUGGUAGAUCAUGGGAUCGAGGAUGCGCUGAGAAUGCGAUUUUGACCUAACCUCAGGAUUUGAUGUGGUUUGGGGUCGUGGUUGCUCCUGGUUGGAGUGUGUGCGAAUUCCCAAGUGAGAAGUUCGCCCGGUUAUGAUUCGGUCUACGAUGCGAGCGAGAGACGCUAUGCGUAGUUGCGACAGGUUUAGGGGUAUGCCGACGUGGUAUUACGACCGUUGGUCCAUUUGUGGAAGCCGACGCAAUCGGUUUAGCUGGUAACUCCGUGGAGGAGUUGGGAGUAAGGGAGCGAAUUCUCGAAAUACGAGAAUUGAACUUCGCUCAAAAUUAACUAGUUGUCAAAUAGGAGUGCUUCGGGAAAGCCGAAGAAGUCAAAUGCAUCAGAAGUGCAUUGCAACGGAUCCGCGAGAGCAAGUUAUGCAAAAAUCUACACUUGGCAAAAAUUGCUCUCGGGGACCGGUCCCUGGCAGGGAGAGACCGGUCCCACCGACUGGUGGUUGCGGCGACGCGCGAGGCAACCUGUCACGCCCCGCGACCGCUACCAAUUUGGCUCGGCCCGGGCGCGUCGAACAGACGCCGAACGGACAGGACCUCCCCUGUCCGUCCAAGGCUAACCAACAGAUCGUGUAUAAGAAUUUACCCAGGAAUCAAUUCAUAAAUACACGAUCAAGAAGCACCACUAGUGCUAUGAACAAGAGCAAGAUACAAGUAUAGAAAUAUAUACAAGUACAUAAGAGAGAAGAGGCUAUCUAUUACAUUCAUUUGAUUUACUACAUCUAGAUACAUCUUUUACAUUCUUCCAAAAUAUAAAUACAAGCACUCAACCCUCACCCUAUACAACAUCUACUCUCAAAUACAAAAGGGGUGACGGCUAAUGCAAGAAGGGAGGUAGCUAAUGCGACUAGAACGCCGGGCCCUUACCGCGGUCCUCACGCUCACCGGGGACACCCGAACUGGAACCUGUGGUAAAAUGGGGGUGAGAACUAACUUCCUUAGUUCCCAGUGGGUUCGGCCGCCGACUCCGCCGAUCUCCCCACUAGGUCCAAGCGGGCACGAGUAGAUAUACCAAUAGAUAGAUAGAUAGAUAGAUAAAUAAGGAAGCUAUAAAUGACGGGAAUUAAGCUAUUCUACUAUGCCCAAUCAUAGAUAUAUGAAUGCAUGUUCGAUGAAUUGGUAAGCAGCUAACCUGUCAGCGUGUCCAAAGGUGAAGCUAUUCACUCGUUCAUUAACCUCAUUUACUUGUCCAUUAAUCUCAUGGCUUACCCGAAGGCUCGCCUACAGCUCACUAGCCAUCUCGACACGUAGGGAGAAUCAACUCACACUACGGACCCGAGACCGUCUGGCGGGGCCAUAUAGGCAAUCCCUGGCGUGACCAACAUCCGGAGCGCACUACUUGUGUGGGGCUUCCAUCACAAGAUUUAACAGACCGUGAGCAUGAUCCAAUCCUCUAAGCUCGAGGAUACCCUGUCCUCUAGAGUCACAAUCAUCAUAUAGUCCAUAGGUUUCAUAUACACUACGACUAGAUUACCAACCAUCCAUUUGUUCGCUAUCGACUAGAUGCCACUCGUUCAUCAUUUACUAUUGACUAGAUGCCACUCGUUCAUCAUUUACUAUUGACUAGAUGCCACUCGUUCAUAGUUCAUCAUUUCUCUACAUUAUAGGAUUCACAAUCUCGACCCAAUCCUUAUCAAUCCAAUAUAUCAAUUAUCCAAUGUACGCUACGAUAUCAUCAAGGAAAAACAUAAGGAAAGGCAAUGCAUACUAAUCCUAUAAUGCAAUAAUACAAGAUGCAAGAUCAAAUAUACUAAGACAUAGGAGGGAGCCCGAUUGCUUCGGGAUGGACACCACCCACCUCUUGGCGAUGCCGCGGUGGUAGAAAACUUGACGCUGCGGUUCUUGUACGCCGCCUAAACUCCUCGGGGCAAAGCGAGCCCUCGAGUACCCGAUUUGGCGAUAACUCCGCACCCGCUCGUCGGAUCGGCAAACCGUCUUCGCCGACGCGUUCAGAGACCUAGCAAUUAGGUUUACGACCCAUUAAAAUAGAUCAGAACCCUAAAUUUACCAAAAACCCAAUUUCAAACCCUAGGUCUCGACAACGGAGAAAUCCGUGGUGCGAGCUUCGAUUUCGAGCUCGAACCUUCCAUUUAUCCCUAAUAGGUUCCAUUUGAACCAAUUCUAAACCCUAAAAAACACAAAACCCUAAAAACACCAUUAAAGGGUUUAGAGCUUACCUCUCUUCAAGACUUCUUCAAGCUUGAGGGAGAGGGAGAGAAGAGGAUAUCUCCUUCUUCUUCUUCUUAGUCUUCUCCUUCUCUUUCUUCUCUUCUUCUCCUUCCUCUUCUUCUUCUUCUUCUCUUUCUUUUCUUUUCUUUCCUAGAGAGAGAGAUAAGGAGUAAGAGAGAGAGAGAGAAAGCAGCUGAGAGGGAGAGAGAGGGGUCCCCAAGCCCUAUUAAAGGCCAUUUUGCAUAUAGCCCCCUCAACUUUUCAUCCUUUGAAUCAGCCCUCUCUGGGCAUUUUCGCAGCGAGAGACCGGUCUCCCCGACUUCGGACCGGUCCCCGAAGGCUGCCAUUUCGAGCAGAGGGAUUCUCGCGUUCGGGAACCGGUCCUUGCCUGAGAGACCGGUCCCCGGGAGACCGGUCCUUGUCCGAGAGACCGGUUCCCGAGAGCUGCAUUCUCGGGACUUAGCCAAAUUUGGCUAAGUCUCGCCAGGCCAACGUUCGGGAACCGGUCCCUGCCCAUCAGGGACCGGUCUCAUCAGAGACCUUCGCAACCCAGCCUGAUGGAACCGGUCCCUCCCUGCCAGGGACCGGUCCCCGAGAGCAUUUCUGCUCCAGUGCAAGUUUUGCACUUGGUGCUCUCGCGGACACUUCCUUAAUGCACUUUAUGCAUUAUAAAAACCUUCGGACUUUCCGAAGCCUACGCACUCGACAACUAGUCGUUUCUAGUCGAAGUCUAAUCCUCGAGUUUCGAGAAUUCACUUCCUUACACAACCUGUCCCUGGACCAGGGAGACCGGUUCCCGAACGUGUGAAUUGGAGAAGGUCCUCUGGGACCGGUCCCUGGCAGGGAGAGACCGGUCCCCGAGUAUGAAAUUUGCCCAGGCAGGCUGGGUCAUGUUGGAGAAGUUGGAGAACUUGAGAAUAUUGCUCUCUUGAGGGUUAGCAUUGGAGAUGUGCCAAAGUGUGCCAUCUCGCAAUAGAGCAAGGGUGCCACCUCACAAUAGAGCGAAGAUCCGGAUGUGAUGGUAGCACUCGCGGUUGAUCGAUGCACCAAUAAUACUGCCUUUAGGCAAUGCCGGUGAUCGAACCGGAGUGGAUUUCCCGAUUGGGCGUGUAAUGCAAGGAGUAGUUCCUUGCAUGGUAGUAAUGCACUUUUGGAGUUGCGCAUGGCGAAUGUGAGUGAAUUUGGUCUCCCAUUCUCCGUAGUGAGCCUUUGGAAAGUUCCGAUAAGUGAAAGGCCACUCCGAGAUGCAAAAGUGCAUUGGAACCCUCGAUUACUCAAUAAGUUGAGUUGAGGUGUGUGUUAGAUUUGAAGUGAGUUAGUUUCGAGGAUGAAACUCUUUUAAGGAGGGGAGAAUGUAAGGCACCGGACUUCUAAAAUCAUGAAGUUACGUUGUACAUUUGGUUGGAGAGCCAUUGGAAAGGUUCCGGUAAAGUUCGGUGAAGUUCGGGCGAUUCGGUGCGCGUAGGCGCGGAAACGGAACCCGAAAGGCUAUGUUGGUCCAUGGAUUAAAUCCAGCAUUAGCAUGGAUGAAAAGAUGGUGAAAACAUGUUCGAAAACAUGUUGGGAGAGUCUCGGUUCGAUUUGAAACGAAUCGGAGGUCAAACGAGCGAAAACGGGUGAAAACGGAGCGAAAACGGUGAAAAAGCUGAAAAUUUGGCUAAGUCCUAAAUGCUGUUUUUCUGGACCUUCGGGGACCGGUCCCUCAAGUCCAGAGACCGGUCCCAGCACCCGAAAAUAGCCCAAUUUCGGCUGUGCACAACUAAUAUUGUUGAGGGGCCUUUGUGCAAUUGUGCAGAGUGUAUAGAGAGAGUUGGGGGCUCAUUUCCUCUCCCUCUCCCUCACGUUGCAACCAAGAGCUCUCCCUCUCUCUCUCUAAGUGCUCUUCUUCUCUCUCUAGAAGGUGAUGGAGGAGAGGAUUUUGGUGGAGAUCAAGAUCAAGAGAAGGGAUUUCUUCUUCUUCUUCUCCUUCCUUGGCUAGUAGCAAGCUUGGAGAGGUAAGCUUCAAAACCCUUUAAUGGCAUCUCUUUAUAGCUUGGGUUUUAAGCUCUAGGAAUGGGUUUAGAUGUAUUCCAGCAUGCUAAAUAGAGAUUUCAUGCUUGAAUCCAAAGCUCUAAUGGUGGAUUCUUGCCUAGUUAUAAACCUAGGGCUCAAAAUGGGAUUUUGAGAAAUAGUUGGGUUUGAUCUCAUUUAACCCUCUGUAAACCUAAUUGAUAGGUCCCCGAACGCGUACGUGCAGUCGGUUUGGCAAUCCGUCGAGCCGUUACAAAGAUAUCAAAGAAGAGGCCGAUUUUGGUACAGAUUGCCGCAGCUCGCGGCGAAAGCUUCCAAAAAUCAUGGAAAUGGAAUCGUAGCAUCGUGGUGUCGGGGAAUAAACUCCAGAAUAGACGGAUCGCGGAUUGGAGGUCGUUCGGUGGUCGCGCGCGCAUUGGGUCAAGCCGAGCGGCGUGCGCCGCGGGAGGCCGAUUGCGAGUGACGACGAGCAAUCGGAACGCGGUAAAAGGUGGGGGGUGUCAUCCCGAAGCAAUCGGGCUUCUCCCUAUGUCUAAGUCUCUCUAUGUUGAUCAAUUAUGCAUAUCGAGCUUUGCAUUAUAGGGUGCUAGAUGAUAAAUGUAUAUAUAUAUAUAUACAUACAUAUUGCAUGCUUCUUGAAAGAGUAAUGUAUUGGGCUUAGUGCUUAUAUCUAGCAUGCUUGAGGUUUAUAUAUAUGUGAUGUGAAACCCUAUAAUGAGAUGAUAGGUGUGGAGGAGAACUUAGUAAUGUAUUGGCUAUUGCAUUGGAAACUUUAAACUGUCAUUGAUCAAGUUGCAUAUUAUGAUGUUGCAUAUAGGGUGUUUAGAAACUUGUAUCUAUAUUUGCAUGCUAGUGUUAAUGUAGCUUGGUAGAUAUAACACUUGAAUCUAGUAUGCAUGAAGUUAGUAUGUGCACCUUAACCCUAUAUGAGAUGAUAUGUGACGGAUUGGAACCUAGGCAAAUGAUAACCUAGUGUUUGUGUUGUGUGAACGAAGAACCUAGUAAAGUGUGAACUAGAGUCUUGGAAACUUGUAAAGGACGAGUGGCAUCUAGUUAAUGUUAACCUAUGACGAGUGGCAUCUAGUUGAUAGCACAUAUGAGAACCUUAGUGUAGUUGAAACACUAGAAGGUUGAGUAUUAGACUGGCAUUGAGUUGAUGAGUUGUUAACCCUAGAUGAUAGGGUGUUCCCAGUUGAUGACACUAUCCUUAGUUGAUAGGAUGUUCCCAGUUCAUGAGAUUGGAUCGAGCUCACAUAGCCUGUCUGCACCUGUGGAGGUCGCUCCUCACAGGUAGUGCACUCCGGAGUUUGGCACGCGAGGGGGCCAGUGUAGUUGCCCUUGGACCAGUGUAGUGUCCGCAGGCGGUCUCGGGGUAGGUGAAUAGCUAGCCACCUCCCUAGGAGAUUUACAGACGUGAGACUGUGCGCGAACCUCGAGUUCGCCGAGAGAUUGGGUAACCUGAUGAGUUACAUUGUGUAUAAUAGCCUGGCACUUAGCCUUAGCCUUAUUGAUGAACCUAGUAGUAUGAUAAUUAGCCUCCAGUAUGAGUUGCAUCGACAUUGAGUAUAGUCGCUUGGUAGUCAGAGUAGUGGAUUUGCCUACAUACAGUGAGUGGACAUACUAUUCUUUCACCUAUGAGAUUUGAGCGAGGUAGCCUGUACCUAGUCGAGAUUGAGUCGGACCGUCGAGAUGUGUGUCGGGUGAGGAGCGGGGUAGCUCUUUGCCUAGGACCUUCGAGAUUGGGUCGGACCUACGAGAUAAGUCGGGCAAGGAGCGGGGUAGCUCUUUGUCUAGGACCUUUGAGUUAUGAGUUAGGCAGGAAAAGAGCGGGGUAGCUCUUCACCUCCUGGAUUUGAGAUCUUAGGCGAGUUAGCCUAGCGGAUUGGGUAAUAACAUGAAUAGCAUAAGAGGAUUGCAUUCAUACUAUGAAUAGACAUAGAGCAUUGCAUAACUAUGUUAUAGUUGUAUUCAUUUCACUGUUGAGGCAUAUUAGCAUGAUAGUAGAUUGUUGCUAGAUGAUGUUCCAUGCAUCUUUUACAUUGAUGGCAUAGUAGAUAUAGUAGCAGUUUAUUUCCAUAUAUCUUUCUGUCUAUCUAUCUGUGCCAGCUUAGACCUAGGCGGAGUCGGCGGCCGAACCCACUGGGAACUAUAGUUAUAUAGUUCUCACCCCGUGUGGUUUUGGGGUACAGGUACACACGAGAGCGGACCGGCAGAUGAUCGCGGCAAGGGCUUAGCGCCCUAGUGCUAGUUGGUAGAUGCUUUCCUAUUUUGCAUUAGAGUUACCCUAUACAUGUAUUGAGAGUAGAUGAUGUAUAGGAUGUGAGGUAUUUUGAGAUAAAUAUAAACUAAUGUUUAUACUUUGGAUGAAUGUAAAGCUAAGUUGUAAUUAAAUGUAUCAAGUUGAAUCGUUGUAAUAGAAUAGUUAAGUAUCUCUUUUUUGUUUCACUUGUAUGUUUACUACUCGUGACGCUUGCUCUUGUAAUGUUCUGCACUGUUUGUGCUCUCGUUGUUGUUGCAUGAUCAUGUAUGUAUUCAAGUUGAUUUCCUGGGGACUUGUUGUACAUGAUCUCGUUGUUGAGCCUUGGGCGGACAGGGGAGGUGCUGUCCGUUCGGCGGUCCGCCCGCCACGCCCGAACCGUGCCAAAUCGGUAGCGGCCUCGGGGCGGGGGCGUGACAACCCUUGGGUAGGUCCUUGAUUGGAAUGGAAAUCGACACGUUGUUGAGAAUGGUUAAUCACUACUAGAUAGGUUUAGUAGUUGAAUUACAUUUAUAUGCUUUUAGCAUGGUGUUGAGACAUGCAGUAUACUUGAUAGUCUUUUAUUGCAUUAAAGCAUACUUGGUUGCCAUGACAGAACUUAUGCAUCAUGUAUUGAUAAAGGUUAAUGACACUUAGUUAUUGCUAUUGGACAUGAUAUUAUGAUAUCGUAGAUGCACAUCACCAUGACAUCGUUUAUACUUGCGUUUAGUAAUUUAGCAUUUUAAUUAUGCCUUUAUAUCGCAGUCAUUAUUGCUUUUAUCAUUGUACUCACCCUUUUCUUUUAGGGCCUAGUGGUGCAUAGAGCUGAGAUCAGUAAUUGCCCACUGGGAACUAUAAAUUAUAGUUCUCACGCCCUCUUUUUCUCGAUGUUUUCAGAGCCUUCCACGCAGGGAGAGGCCAGGGAUCGCGGAAAGGGUAUCGCCUCGGGCUAGCGUGCUUACCGAGGGAUCGUUCGAUAGGUGGUCUACCUCUCGUGUUUUCUUUUUGUGAGAGGUUGAGAGUUGUACCCGUAUAUGUAUAGAGACCACCACUUUUGUACUAGAGACGGUUAUUGUACUACUUAUGGUUAUCUUGGGUUGACUAGCUUUAUUUCCUUUACUUUGGUGUAGAUGAUAGAACCUUACUUGCUCUGAUAUCAUUAGUUGCUAGUUAUUUCACUUCUUCUAUUUGUCACACUAUUUGCUUUUACUUCCGCUUUUAUUCUAGACGCCUUAUAUGUGUAGACAUAUGGCGGGUCUGGCCACGCUACCGGGAGGGCCUCCGCCGGUCCCGGGGCGUGACAUAAACUAUGUCUUUAGAUAUAACACUAGAUUCCUCUUUCAUUUAGCAUCAUAGGUUUACCAAUGUUAUUUCCCAAUCCUUAUGUCCACUACAUCAAGUAUCCAUAUCAUAAUACUAUAUUAAUCAUAGACAUUAUACAAGGAGUAGGAAUGCAUGUAUCAUCACCCUACAAUGCAUAACAAUAUACAAUAUGCUAUAUGCAAAUCGAUAAAGCACUAAGACAUAGGAAGAAGCUCAGUUGCUUCGGGAUGGACACCUCCCACCUUUUAUUGCGUUCCGAUUGCUUGUCGUCACUUGCAAUCGGCCUCCCGCGGCACCCGUAUCCGGCACAGCCCAAUAUUGCAACUGCGCUAGAAUCGCGCUCCGCUUCGCAGCCCCGAAAAUUAUAGGUCUGCGGUUAUGUGUUACGGUGCCACCAGUCCAUUUUCAUGACCUUACGACGUCGCCUCGGCCCUCUAGGCGAAAACGAAGCUAAAUUGUCAGUUUCUUCAAUAUCUUUGUAACGGCUCGACGGGUUGCCAAACCGACUGCACGAACGCGUUCGGGGACCUAACAAUUAGAUUUGCAGAGGGUUAAUAGAGAUCAAACCCAACUAUUUACAAAAAUUUCAUUUUGAACCCUAAGAAUUAACCCAUGCAAGAAUCCACCAUUUGAGCUUUGGAUUCAAGCUCAAAUCAUCUAUUUAGCAUCCUAGGAUUCAUCUAAACUCAUUCCUAGAGUAUUUAAACCAACCAUCAAGGAUCUACCAUUAAUGGGCAAAGAGCGUGCCUCUAUGUGUUAGCUCCAAGCAAAGGAAAAAGAAGAUAAAGAAGGUGAUGAAGCUUCUCUUGAUCAUCUUCUCCUUCUUCUUCUCUUUCUUCUUCUCUUUCUUUUCCUUCUAGAGAGAGAGAGAGAGCUAUUUGGUGUAGUAGGGUUGAGAGAAAUGAGAGGGAAGAGAUAACCCAAGCUUCUAUAGCCUCUCAUUAGUGCAAAAUUGCAGAAAACACCCUCAAUAAUGCUUCCCUCGCAACAGCCCAAAUCGGGCAUUUUCGGGCUUCGGGGACCGGUCCUUGCGAUGAGGGACCGGUCCCAAGAGACCGGUCCUUGGCUGAGAGACCGGUCCCCGAAGGUCCAGAACUCAGCCUCAAGGACUUAGCCAAAUUUUCAGCAUUUUCGCCCGUUUUCGUCCGUUUUCGCUCGUUUGACCUCCGAUUCGUCUCAAAUCGAACCGAGACUCUCCAAAUAUGUUUUCGAGCAUGUUUUCAUCAUCUUUUCAUCCACGCUAAUGCUGGAUUUAGCUCAUGGACCAACAUAGCUUUUCGGGUCCCGUUUCCGCACCUAUGCGCACCAAAACGCCCGAAUGCUUCCAAACUUCACCAAACUUCACCGGGACGAUUCAAAUGACUUUCCAACCAAAUGUACACCGUAACCUCAUGACUUUAGAAGUCCAGUACCUUACAUAUAUAGUAAAGAGUUUUCGUGUUGGGCUUUGCUCUAUGGAUAGCAUUCUUAAUUUUGGCUUUGGAUCGUGAUGCAUCUAGUAAAUAUGACAUGUAUAAAUGUACAUGUUAUAUACAAUGCAUGUUGGACCUCUAUGUAAUAGAGAGUUUUUGUAUUGGGCUUGGCCCUAUGGAUAGCAUUCUUAUUUGUGACUUUGGAUCGUGUUGCAUCUAGUGAAUAUGACAAGUAUUAUACACUCUUGGAUUUAAAACUCAUGCUUGGCAUAGAUGAUCAGUUAAUGUCAUAAAGUGGCAUUAGACUUAAGUGAUGCAUGUUUUGGUAAGCUAAUGUCAUAAAGAGACAUUGGGCUUGGAAUUGGUAUAGUAAUCUAAUGUCAUAAAGAGACAUUGGGCUUGGAAUUGGUAUAGUAAGCUAAUGUCAUAAAGAGGCAUUAGGCUUGGAAUACUUAUGGACUUUGUAAAUCUAAGGUCACAUGAGACAUUAAAAUUAUUGAACGGUUAAACCUUCACUUAGGGAUAUUAAAUUAGACCUAUGAGUUGCUAGCGAUCAUUUUCAUGGUUGAGCCAUGAUGACCGGAUCGUUGUGACGAUAACUAUGCUUGCUUGCCAUUUGUGCUGAUUCGCAAACCUUCACUUGGGGAUAUUAAACUAGACCUAUGAGUUGCUAGCGAUCAUUUCCAUGGUUGAGCCAUGAUGACCGGAUAGUUGUGAAGAUGACUAUGCUUGCUUGCCAUUUGUGUUCAUUCGCACAUGCUUGUGAGGGUCGCUCCCUCCAAGCCGGCACUCCGGAGUUAGCCUUUGAGACGCAAUUCGCGCGUGCUGGGUGAGACGCUUAUAGGGUCGCGUAGGACAGACUCAUUCCUAGCGUGGAAUGAUGGGCUACCACAGGCAGCUAGGCGGUGAGACGCCUGUAGGGUCGUGUGGGACGGCCUCAUUCCCACCGUGGGAUGAUGGGCUACUACAGGCAGCUAGGCGGUGAGACGCCUGUAGGGUCGUGUGGGACAGACUCAUUCCUAGCGUGGAAUGAUGGGCUACCACAGGCAGCUAGGCGGUGAGACGCCUGUAGGGUCAUGUGGGACAGCCUCAUUCCGAGGGUGGGAUGAUGAGCUACCACAGGCAGCUAGGCGAUGAGACGCCUGUAAGGUCGCGUGGGACAGACUCAUUCCUAGCGUGGAAUGAUGGGCUACCACAGGCAGCUAGGCGGCACCAGCUGGACUACACAUGUGUAGGUCCUAAAUGAGAUUGAACGAGGACAUUGAACAAGAAUAUGACAAUCACUACUUGAUAGGUUAUAGUAGUUGGAUUCUUGACAUGCUCUGGCAUAGUGUUGGACAUAUGGACAUGUAGCAUACUUGAUAGUAUCACACAUUGCAUUAUAGUAUACUUGGUUGUCAUGAUAGAGCAUAUUAUGUAUGUUUCUGGCAUAUUGGAUCAUGAUAGAGUAGAUGUGCACUACGUUGACAUCAUGUGAUAUUGCGGCAUUGUAGAUUAGCAUUUUAGUACAUGCUUUUCCUAUUUGCAGUUUACUAGUAGUUCCUUUAUCUACUUAUGCUUUUGGGCCUAGUGGUGCAUUUUGCUCAGGUCAGUAAUUGCCCACUGGGAACUAUAAAUUAUAAUUCUCACGGCCCCUGUUUCAUGUUUUCUUUCAGAGCCUUCCACCCCGGGAGAGGCUCGAGAUCGCGAAAAAAGAAUCGCCUCGAGUUAGCUAACCAGGAAUUCGACGAUAGGUGGUCUACCUCUCUUCUGAGUUUUGUUUUGAGAGGUUGAGAGACUUGUACCAUUUUUGUAUAGACCACCCCCUAUAUGUAGCUUGAGACUUAUGAUGUAUUAUUUACGUUUUGCCUUAGUAGUUUAGUUUCCUUUGUUUCUACCUGUUGUUAGAACCUAGCUGUAUACUUGCUCUGAUAUCUCUAGAUACAUUCUAUUUAUUGUUCAUCUAUUCGCUAGUGUUGUAGACGCCUUAUAUGUGUAGGCAUAUAGCGGGUCUGGGCACGCACCAGGCGGGCCUAGGCCGGGUCCGGAGCGUGACAGAAAGCCUAUUAAUUAUGUUUACACAUGAUCUAAUUAGAUCAAACUCUUACUUUUAGCAAAACUUCAUUUUGGAGCCCUAGAUUGCUACUAAUGCAAAAUACUCCAACAAAGCCCUAGAUUCAUGCAUUUAGCAUCAAUUAGGCAUGCUAGGAUUCCAACUAAUCCAUUUCUAAAGCUUAUAAUCCAACCUCUAAAAAUCUAACAUUGUAGCUCAAUGGAGCUUACCUCUCUAGCUUGCUCUCAAGGUGGAGAAGAUGACGAUGAAGAUGAAGAUCCUUCCCUUGGCUUCAAUCUCCACCAAAUCCUCCUCCUUCUUCACCUUCUAGAGAGAGAGGAAGAGAGCUUAGAGAGAGAGAGAGAGUGUCUUUGGUGUAGCGUUAGGGAAAUGAUGGAAAGAGAGAGAAGGAUGGCCCUCAAGUAGCCCUCAUAAUGCACAAUUGCUGAAAACCCCCUCCACAAUGCAAGUUAUGCACAUCCCAACCCAGGGCAUUUUCGGGUACCGGGACCGAUCUGUCCCUAGAGGGACCGGUCCCCGAGAGCAAACUUUGCGGGCAGAGUAAUUCUACCAAUUUUACGUGUACGGGGACCGGUCCUUCACUCUUGAGGGACCGAACCCCGAGAGCAAUUUUGUGCGCAGCAUUUUUUUGCCACUCACCAAGCUUACGGGAACCGGUCCCUCCCACCAGGGACCGGUCCCCGAGGGCAAAUUCUGCAAGUAUGCAGAAUCAUACCAGCUUGCUCUCCGAGGCCCCUUCCAAUGCACUUUAUGCAUUUUCGACGCCUUCGGCCUUUCCGAAGCGUGCCGAACUCAACUUCGAACAAUUUCGAUCGAAGUUCGAAUUCGUGUUUCAAGAUUUCCGAUUCUUUACAGAAAAAGCGAGGGAGCAGAGGGUAGGGAGAGAGAGAAGGGGGGAGAGAGAGAGAGCUGGAGGGGGAGGGAGAGAAAAAAAGGAGAAGAGAGAGAAGAGAGGAGAGAGAGAGCCGGGGGUAGGGAGAAGGAAGGAGGGAGAGAAAAAGAGGGGGGGAGAGAGAAAGAGCCAGAGAGAGGGGUGGGGAGAGGGAGAGGGAGAGAGGGGGAGAGAGAGAGAGAGAGGCAGAGCCGGGGGGGCGCCCUGACAUGUGCGGGCGACACGCGCCCGGGGCGCACGCACGUAGGAGAGAGAGAGAGAGAGAGAGGGAGCCAGGGGUNAGAAAAAAAGGAGAAGAGAGAGAAGAGAGGAGAGAGAGAGCCGGGGGUAGGGAGAAGGAAGGAGGGAGAGAAAAAGAGGGGGGGAGAGAGAAAGAGAGAGAGAGGGAGCCAGGGGUGGGGAGAGGGAGAGAGGGGAAGAGAGAGAGGGAGGGGCUCCCAUGUACGCGACCCGCGCCCCUCGCUCGCGCAUGUGCACACGAGAGAAAGAGAGAGAGAGAAAGAGGGGGAGAGCCCGGGAGGGGAGAGAGAGGGAGAGAGAGAAAGAGAGAAAGAAAGAGAGAGAAAGGGAGGGAGGGAACGAGGGGAAGGGGUGGGGAGAGGGAGAGAGAGGAAGAGAGAGAGAGAGUCGCGCGCUCGCGAAGGGCUCGAAGGGGGGGACGCUUAGAGGCUGACGUGUGGCCACAGUAAAGUUCCCCUUUUAAUAUAUCUAUUGAUUGAUAAUUAAGGCCAAAAGUGGAGCAAAUAAUAUGAAUAGUCAUGAAGCAGGUAAAUCCAAUCUACUCAACUAGAUUCAUGAUAGAAGCAUGAUAAAAAUAAUCGAGUAGAAUACCACUUUACCGACUUUGGAUCAAAACACCCACUUAUAUGCUGGUUAUACUUGAAUCUGUGAAUCUAGUAAUGCCUCUAGAUGUCACAUGAACCUAAACAUAAUCACCGAGUGCCAACAUAAACCACUACAUAUCCACAACAAUCACAAACACACAUAUACCGCACCGAAGUGCAUGAUGAUCAGUGACAACAACUCGAGACACUAAGUUACAAACAACAUGAACUGGUGAGCUCAAAAGAUCAAUUUCUUUAAUCGAUUUCAUAUCCUCGUCAAAACCAUUGCGUAACUCACUAUGACCUCUGCUCUAUACAUGGAGCGUAUCGAGUCAAGCUGGAGGUUUCCUUAUAUAACCUACUGUCUCAAGACACACCAAUUUAGGUGUUGAGACAUCUGCAUGCAAGGUGCGCAACAAUAGAGCCCUCUGAAAUGCAUCCCAUGAGUUUCAAAAUCCAAAUGCACAAUUAGUGCACCGAAACAGUGGAGUUUCUACCCUGAUAACUCCCAAAGUUGCCAUUUCUAGCAAUAGGACAGCUAGCACAUAACUAUAUGAUUACUCUCGAGGGUCAUUUCCAUUCAGAAUGCGACUACAACAGAGCUCUUGCUAGCAAUAAGUAUGGCCACGCACUCCCAACCCAACUAUUUGUCUUAAAAGGCCUAAUUUCGAUUUUUCGAACACCAUUUAGGUCUUAGAAGAUGCACACGACAUGCAUUCAGCCAACAAGGCAGUCCCAACACCACAUUACCACAUAAAAGUAACAUGGAGUCACCAACAAUACUAACAAUGUGAUUGGAACAUUAGUUCCAGCUACCAAUUUCUAGUUUCCUUCAAUAUUCUCACCAAAUAGCUAUUUCAGCCCACCAAUUAAGUAUGUCCCGAAUCACAUUAUGCAUCCCAACAUCCGAGCCGCUAUCCUGAAGUACACCAAUUUAGGCACCUGGGCACACACAAAGUGCAAACAAAAGGGAUUUCAGUAUCAAAAUAUGUCAUUUUGAGCUCCGAAAAUACCGUUUUCGGCAUCGAAACCCGUCACAACCCUCUUGCUAUUAGCGGACACAAAAGACCGCAAUAGUUGACUAGCCAGGAAGGCUCAACAAUGUCCAAAGACCGCCACAACAACGUUCCUAUGAAUUUAAAAUCGCCAUUGCACUAUAAUGACAAUUUCAGCACAAAAUUGCCUAAAAGCAGCCCCAUUUAAGUUCUGAAUUGAUUUUCGGACUUAGGACGUCCAGUUUACAACGGACAUCUUAGAUGCUGCCCAAGGUAGCCUGCAACGCGAGAACACUAAUAAGAUCCAUAAUUUUAAACUAUUACACUGUUCAAAUAGAAAACAGAGUUUUGACUCGUUACUUAGUUUAAAGCCGAACCAUUGCACAGGCUGGUAGAAGGCAAUGCUCUAGACAUUGUGCUUAGCUUAAGAGGUAUCAAUGACGAUGAAAAUCCAUUUUUUCCAUCUUGUUGAAAGACGAUCGAAGAGCACCAUAGUUGCAACUUAGCUCACUGGCUUUUUCGGUAAGAACUAGGAUGAGCACAAUAGUAAGGAUAGUCGAGAGGUCACCGUAGUACACCAAACCGAUCGAGAUCGCUGAAACUUGGGAUAGUCGGAACAGCAGCCUCAGCUCUGGAGUCUCCUCGGUCAAGUAGCAGGCUGCAGGAGCAGCUCAAGGAAGCUAAGUGCAGCCAAGAGCGAGCGGUCGGGGCUGGCCGGGGGUAGCUCAGUCGCCCAAAGGAAAGGCCGGAAGGCGAUGGCUAGCGACGCAGCUCAGCGUUGGCAAUGGUCCGCCGGAAUCUGGCCGUAGAAGCUCCGGCCAAAUCCCAGCUCGAGGAAGGCUCUGGAGCUCGGUAAGGGCUCGUUGCAGGUGAAGGAGAUAGUGGCUCAGUGAUUGGAUGAGGGGAAAGGGAGAAAUAGAGAGAGAAAGAUAAAAAAGGGAAUAGGUUUUUUUUUUUUGUUCUCCUUUGUUCUCUCAAUUGUAACAAUUGCAGAAAACACCCUCCCUACCCUCUUUUCCCCAUUACAAUUCUCUCUACCCCGUUUGGUUCGGAGACGAGCGGAGAUAACGUUCCGCCAAACGAGCUAAUAUUUUACCGAAAUAUUUUAUUCCGGUCAAACGUUGUUAUUCCCGGUUAUUUCGGAAUAGCAAGAAAUUUGCUAUUCCACCAUUUCGGUGGAAUAGUGCUAUUCCAAUACUUAAUUUCAAACUUAAUUUGAAUUAAAACUAAAUUAUAUAAAUAUAAUAUGUUAUAUAUUACAAUACAUAAUUUUUAUUAUAAAAUUAUUAAUUGUACUAUAUUAAUACAUAUUAUUUAUAUUUAAAUAUUAUAAUAAACUUCUUUUAUUAAAUUUAAGUUUAAGUAGAAUUUGAAAAAAAAAUUAUAAAUUUAUUAUAAUAAAUUAUUUUUAUUAAUUGUUCCCACCCCUAUUUUUAUUUUAAAAAUUGAAAAAUUAAAAAUUUAAAUUUUUAAAAUUUAUAAUUUAUAAUCUCAAAAUUUAAGUUUAUAAUUUUAAAUUAUAAAAUUUAAAUUAUUUUAAAUAUUUGAAAUUUAAAAUUUGAUAUUUUAUAUGUUUCAAAUUUAAAAUUGAUCUUAAAUUUAAAAUUUAAAAUUUUGAUUUCAAAAUUUGAGAUUUCAAAUUUCAAAUUUUGAAAUUUCAAAGUUAAAAUUUUAAAUUUAAAAAUAUAAAUUUAAAAAUUUAAAAAUUCAAAUUCAAAUAUAAUAAGAGGGUAAUAUCAUUAUUUUUUAUUUAUAAAAUCCACUAUCCUUCUUAUACCAUUUUACCUAACCAAACGCUAGUUUUUUUAUUCCCAGAAAUAACCCAAUUUUCAUCCAAACGCAAAAUUGAUCUAAUCCCCGCUUAUACUUCAAUUUAUACCUAUUCCUGAAAUAGUCACUUUUUGCUUAUCCUCGAACCAAACGAUACCCGACUUAGUUCUCUUCAGGUUGUACUCUUUUUUGAAAAAAUCUUACUUUUAUUACAUGAAAUAAUAAUUUUUUCACAAAUU
rnacentral:lncRNA from 1 species